AAUAAAUAACUUUACUCUCAUUUUCUCUGGGUUUACUAUUUCACCCUUGGGGAUUUUCCUUCAUGGCUAAGUCAAAGUCAAUACGUAGACGAUGUAAACCAUAUUAUAUACUCAUAAAAUUGUUAUUAGAUUUUUAUUACAGAAUUUUCAAUUUAAUUUGUUUAAGAACGAAUUAAACUUAUUUUAUUAAAUAAAUGACAUUUUUUAUCUGAAAUUUUUUUUUGCAGCAGUAAAACGCAAUCGAACUGAUAAAUGGGUCAUUGGACCGGGUCGGCCACGCGUUGAAUAGGACAGGCUCGCUUGUUUGCUUUGAAUUUCUGGUUGGUUGUUUUUGCACGACAAGAAUUUAAAAAGAGUGACCGUUUGUCAGGUUUGCUUAGAGACACGUGGGUUUCACAUAUCGGUUUGAGCUUGGUCUUUGCGUGUGUCGGUUUUUUCCAACUGCGUCUUCUUGGAUUAAACGGAUCAAAAAUCAUUAAACAUUGAUAAUUUCAAUUACGUUAAUUUUUAAAAAUAAUCCCCUGUAUUUCAUUUUUUAUCCAGUAUUUUAAUUUUAUUAUUUCUGUAUUUAUAAUCUAUAUUAUUAUUGAUGUCACAAGUUAAUUAAAAACUAACUUAAUUAAAAAAUUAUAAAAAUACUUUCAUAUUUAAAAUAAAUUAUAUUAUUUAAAGGCAUUUUAAUUUUUUAUUUAAAAAUAAAAAAUAUACAUUUUGUAAUAUUUAAACACACAUCAAUUGAAUUGGUGAAAUCUCAAUUUUACUCAACUAAAGUCUUAUUUUAAAUUUCUUUUUUACAUUUUUAUUUUAUUAAGUACACUUUAUUACAUUAAUUAAUUGCAUAUCUAUACUUCAAUAUUAUUAUUUAAGCUUCUAAUUGAAUUAAUGUCACAAGUCAAUAGAAUAUAACUUAGUUAGAGAAAUUAUAAAAAAAAUCAUUCUAUAUUUAAAAUAAAUAAUAUUAUUAGAGAGUAUUUCAGUUUUUUUAUUUAAAAACCAUAAAAAAUUAUGCAUAUUAUUGAUUAGGCAUGUUCAAACGAUCUGUUCGGUUAUUAACCAAAGUAAAUUAUUAUUAACUGAAUUACUCAAAAUGUAAAAACCUUUAACCAUUAACCGAACUUUUUUUUUCAAAUGCAUUAACCAAACCGAAAUAUUUUGGUUAAUUCAGUUAGUUAACCGAAUUAACCAAAAUUUAUAUGUUUUUAUCUUUUGGUUAAAAUAAGUAUAAAACAUAUAUUGCUAAUAUUCAUUCUUUUUAAUAGUUAAAAAAUAUAUAAUAUAUAAUAUAUAAUAUUUAUUCGAUUAAUAUAAAAAAUAAUAGUUCAAGAAAUACAUUGCUAAUAUAAAAAUAUAUUAUAUAUAUUAUUUAAUUCGGUUAAUUACCCGAUGUUGAACCGAAUUAAUCGAUAAUCAAAAUUUUAAAAAAUCAUUAACCAACCUUCGACCAAACUAAAUUUGGUCACCGACCGAUUAAUCGAAUUAGAUCAGUUUGGUCAGUUAAUUUGGUUUUAACCGAGCCAUGAACACCUCUAUUGUUGAUUAGGUUAGUAUCACAAAUUAAAUCGACAACAACUUAGGAUAGACGUGUCCAUUUAGUAUUAUUAAUUUGAUAUAUUUAUGUGUUUAAAUUUUAUUUUACUUACAAUUUAUUCUAAUUCUUUUCUAUUUUAAUAUCGUACAUAUUCAUGUGUUAUUAAUAAUUAGUUUUAAACCAUAUAUUUUAUUAUUUAUUAUAUGUUAUUUUUAAAUACACAUUUGUGUUUUAAAUGCUUGGUUUUCACAUGUAUAUUUGUGUGAUAGAAUUUCUAAUUUAUAAUGAUUAUGCUUGUAGAACUUUUGAGGCAACAAAUUUGUUAAAACAUGAUUUAGGGUUCCUCAAAUGGUAUACAAAAAAAUUGAUUUUUUAUAAGGAUAAAUAUUAAAAUUAUGCAUGAACUUUGAUAAAAUAUGUAAAGUUACACAUAAAUUAUAAUUAUGUAAUCUUAUACAUAAGAUUUUCAUUUAAUUUAAUUUUCACAACAGGGGCGAAGCUAGAAAUUUUUUUAAGAGGGACGAAAUUAAAUUAUAAUUUUUACGAUAGUAAAAAUGUAAUUUUACUAUUUUAAUAGUUUAUAUCUUUAUAAUUUUUAAAGGAUUAAAUUAAAUUUUUAUUAUUUUUAGGGGGGUCAAAGUACAAUUUUACUUUUACUAAUUUAAAAUUUUAAAAAUUUCAAAAGACCUAAAUAAAAAAAAUCAUUUUAGGGGGUCGAAACUCCUGCCAACCCCUUAGUUUCGCUCCUGUUUCACAAGUCAUUGACACAAUUAUCAUUAUAAAAUCAUUUUACAUUUACAUAUUACAUGCAUAGAUAACUUUAUUUAUCUAUUAUAUAAAUAAAUUGGUGCGUUUGUAUUUUUUUAUGUGUAUAGAUAAAUCAAAAUUAAAAUUUUAUAUAUACAUUUAAAUUAAAAUUAAAAUUUAAUGUAUAUGAUUAUACCAAAUCAAAGUUUAUAUAUCAAAUUAUAUAUUCAAUCAAAAUUUAUAUGUUAAGAUUUAUUUUUUUAUAAGGCGUAAAUGCAAAAUUGUAAUUGAGCUAUAAUUUUUUUCCUAUUUAUAUAUCUCUCUUUUAAUAAAAAAAAUUAUGUUUAAAGAAAGAUUCUGUGACACUAAUUACUCCCGGCAGUACUUUCGUUAAAAAUACUUUUACUAAUUAAAUCAUAAGUGACACCUCUUUUUUUUAAUAUAUUAAUUUUUUUAUUUGUGAAAAUUUAUCUAGCGUAUGAAUUAAUUAUAAUUUUAAAAGUUAUGUAAGUCUCUCAAAAUUUGAAUUUAAUAAUGUUAAAUAAGUAAAUUUACAUCAUUUAUAUAUUAUAAAACAAUCAAUACACCUUUAAUUAAUAAUAGUAUAAAUUAGACCUUAAAUAUAGAUGUGUGUAUUUAUUGUAUUUAAAUUAAAAUAUAUGUUUAAUUAAUUUAUAAUUUUAUAUAUAAUAUUUACAUAUACUAUAAUUUUGUACAUGUAUAAAAUUUUAAUUAAUUAUAAAAUAUUUACACAUACUACAAUUUAAGUGCAUAUAAUAAUAUUUAUUAGAAUUUAAAUUUAAAUUUAUAAUAAAACUAGUGAAAAGAUUGACACUUAAUUAUAGAGUAAAAAAUGAAGAAUCUGACACUUAUUUAUAAGGUAAGUGUAAACAUGAUAGUAUUCUUUAAUUAGUGUAGGAUUCAAAAUUAACGUUUUAAGGGAUUUAAAUUAUUUUUUAAUGAAAAUAAUAAUAAAAAUGAGCUAUAGAAGUAUUCUUUAGUCAAUGUGAGAUUAAAUUUAACUUUUUAAUGGAAAUAGUGAUGAAAUUGUCACUUAUAAAUUAAAUGUGAUAUAUGAGAGUAUUUUUUUAAUCAAUGUGAGAUUAAAAUUAACUUUUUUAAUGAAAAUAGUGAAGAAAUUGACACUUGUUUAUAAGGUAAGUAUGAGCAUGUGAGUGUUCUCUAGCAAAUAUAGUAUUGAAAUUAACUUUUUAAAGGAUCAAAAUUAUUUUUUUAAUAAAAUAGUGAAGAAGUGAGCUAUGAGAGUUAUGGGUGAGCAAAACUUGAUUCGAUUCGAAAAAAUAAAAUAAAAAUUUAAAUUUUAAGUUAAUUGAAUCAAAUUAUUUGAGUCAACUCAAAUAAGUAAUUCAAGUUUCGAGUUCGAAUCGUGUUUAAUUUUACAAUUCAAAUAACUUGAAUAAUAGAUUAGUGUAAAUACCCCUUUGGUCCUUGUUAAUCUUGAAAAUAAGCAAAUUGGUCUCUUUCUCAACAAAAAUUAUAAAAAAGAAAUAUAAAAUAAUUUUUAAAAUUUAAAAUAUUUAUAUUUUUUAAAAUUUUUUUAAUAAUUUUAAAAUAAUUUAAAAUAUUUAUAUUUUUUUAAAUUUUUUUAAUAAUUUUAAAAUAAUUCUAAGGAAUAUAUAAAUAAAGUUAAAAUUUUAAAUUUUUUUUCUAAAACAAUACUUUUGGGGACCUAAAUAAGUUAAUUAAUGAUUUAAAUUUAUCAUACUAAAGUCUGUUUUAUUAUUAUUAUUUUGUUUUGAAAUUUUUUUCAAAUAUAUAUGGUUUCAAAUUUAUGUGCUCCAACAUGGAAUUAGUUAUAUUGUAAUAGGAUUUUAAUUUGAUAUGUUUAAUUUUUUUAAUUUAACUCGAACAAUUUACUCUAUUCGGUUCAAAUGAAUUUCAUUUUACUCGAUUCGAUUCGAAAAAAUUUCAAAUCGAGUUAGAAUGAUAAAAUAGCAUUUGUCAUCUCGAUUAACUUAAAAUUUUUCCACUCGAUUCGGCCGAACAUUUACCCUUAAUAAGAGUAUUCUCUAGUCAAUGAAUAUAGAGUGUUCCCCAGUAAAUAUGGGAUUGAAAUUAACUUUUUAAAAGAUCAAAAUUAAUUUUUAAUGAAAAUGGUAAAGAAGUAAAUUAUGGUUAGAUGGGGAGCCAUUAAUUGUUCCAAGCCAAAUAGUUUUUGACACUCGAUCUAUCUAUAGUUGCCGUAAGCUAUCUGACUUCAUCAUCAAAUCUUGCAAUCUUAUGUUAGUACGAUAUGUUUCUAUAAUUUUUUUUAUCAUUUUUUAUUUUAGCAUAAAUAUUUUUAUUGAUUUUUUUUUUGUUAAACAAUAAUUUACUUGCAAAUUUCAUUUUUUUUUUACUAAUCAAGACUUGUAAUAUGAACUCUUAACUAAAUUUUUCUUUAAAGUUUCUCUAAGUAUAUAACCUGUCUAAAGCUCAAAUCAGGGGCGAAGGCAGGGGAGCUGGCAUGAACCCUGGCCUCCCCUAAAAUAUAAAAUUAUUUUUAUGCCCUUAAAUUUUUUUUAAAAUUUUAAAUUAGUAAAGGUAAAAUUGCACUUUGCCCCCUCUAAAAUUAUAAAAAUUCGAUUUAAUCCUUUACAAAUUAUAAAGAUAUAAACUAUAAAAAAUUAAAAUUUCAUUCGGCCCCCCCAAAAAAAUUUUCAGGCUUCGCCCCUGUCUCAAAUGCUUGCUUUUCUUUUUUUAACUUUGAAGAGGACUUGAUUCAUUGAUUUCUCAUGCUUGAUUCAUUGAUUUCGCAUGCUUUAUUGUUGAUUUUUUUUUAGAAUAUUUAUUGUGUUUUUAUAAGAAAGUCUUAAGAUUUUAGCCAUAUCUAGGUUUAAAGAGAGUAGAGGAUUUGUUUUGAAGAAUAAUGGUGGUAAGGGGAGUAACUAAGGUUCGUGAAGAGCUACAUAAGGAUAUUAUUGUAGCAUUAGACAUUUUAGAAUUACAUAUUAAUGGGGAAGUUAAUAAAUCCCUAGCAGGGAAAGUGCUCUUUGGCAAGAAUAUGAAGUUGACCUCUAAACUGUUGUGGUCUAUUUUCAACGAUUGUUUGUGUAACAUCCCUUCCAUGUUUUGAUAAUUGGUGCGGAUAGAAAUGUUGCCAUUUGAAUAAGCACAUAUAUGACUUAUAAUUCUCUAAGUAGUAAAUCUUUAAAAUAAUUUAAGGAAAUCAUUGAAUUAAAUUUAGAACAAUUUAGGGGCUUUAAAAACAUUUUAAAAUGAUUUAGAAGUGGUUUGGAGGGAAUUGAAGGUGCUUGGGAUCCAAAGUGAGCUUCAGGAAGUCAAAAUUGGACAAAAUAGUGUAAUUGGCCCAACCUGGAGCGGAGGUAUCGAUACAUACCUCUAAAAGAAGUGCUAAUACCUCUCCAUGGUAUUGUUCAUUUUUCCUCACUAACUUGGAUGUUUCGAUACACCCAAGCUAGGUAUUGAAACCUUGGACUCUUGAACUCUUGGAGCCAAAAUUGAGUCAUUUCCUUUAUAUAUAUACCUAAAAGUAAGGUACUGGAACCUUGAAGUGGUGGGCCAAAAAUUCAUGUUGGAAGCACCUUAAACCAUCCCAAAACUCCUCAUAACAAGUUAAGCAAAAGCAUACUCAAAAAUCACUUGAAAACAUGCAAAUUCUACCUCAAAACAAACACUAACUUAACUCAUAUCUACAUACCAUUAAUGCAACUCUUGAAACAUGUUAAGACCUAAUUAACACCUUCAAAAUAUGUAAAAUUUUCAUUCAAUUCUUAGCUCACAUCAUAAGAGUAAUAUGCAUGCUUACUUAGCAAAGCGUUCAUACAUUAACCAAAGCUCAAGCCAAUCAAAUGAGUUCGAGCUUGACCAAUUUAUGGAAAAAAUCAAAUUCAAGUUUACUCAAUGAUGUGACCAUAGGUCGGGAAGUUACCACCACGCUGCCACAAGGUCCUAUAACUCGGCUUCAAACUAAAAGGUUUCAAGAUGUGUUAGCAAGCUAUGUUAAUCGAGCUUGGGGAGAGCAAGCAGCCGAAUCCAUCGAACAUGUUUGGAUCAGCUCAAUAGGCGUCCCUUGCAAUUUAUUACAAGCUGAAUUUUACUUUUAAUUGAACUCAUCUUAGUUAGUAAUUAAGUUGCUAGAAUAAAUGUUUAUCUUAGUUAAUUGAGGUGCUAGAAUAAAUACUUAUCUUAGUUAAUUUAGUUGCUGGAAUAAUUUAUUGUUACAUGUGUUUAAUGUGUUUAAUGUGUGAUUAAUAUGUUUAAUGUGUUUUAAUGUGUUUGUUAAAUGAAUGCUUGUAGGUGACUAUUCAGCUGGAAUCGAUUACAAACAAGGGGUGGUUACAAAGUGUUAAAUGCGACUAUUUAGUUGGAAUCAGUUAUAUAUAAGGGGCUGUUACAACAUUUAAAGAUGAGCAUUUUUCACCAUUUAAAUUCGGCAGCCUAUUCCUCUUCUCCAAGAAGUUGUUUAAUAAUAGCAAAGGACAAUGGAGUGAUUACACAUUCCAUAAUCGAUUGCCUCUUAAUGAUCAUACCAUGGUCUGUUUGAGUGCCCAAAAUUUUAUCCAUAUUGCUGGUGUCUAUUCGAUUGCCCAAGUUUUCAAGUUCAGUUAAAUCAUGCUGAUAGUUGUUGGUAAUUAGUCCUAGAGGUUUCAAGAGUUUGUGCUCAGUGAUUAAGUUUCAUUUCAGCCCAUAACCACUCAUUAAAGCUGAAUUCAAGUGACUUUUCGGCUAAGUCCCUUGUAGCACUAUAAAUAUUUUGUAAUCAGCUUGUUUAGAGAACCUUUUGUUGAAUUUAUGUUAAAUUUAAAACUUGUGAGAUUUCCAAUUCUCCUUGUUCUUUUGGGACUGAAUUGACUUAUCAAGUAUUCUUGUGGCGUCAAUCUGUUCUUUGUUAAACCAAACUUAUCACCUUUGGUGUGGCGUUCAUAUACCUUUGGUUCCUAUCACAUUUGAUAACGAGUCAAGGUUUUGUGUUGUUUUCCCUAAACCGAAUUCACCUAAGACCUAUUUUGAGUUUCGAGUCAACAAUCACAUUAUUGUUAGUUCAUUCUCAAGCCUUAAUCGAAUUACCUAUCUUUGCUUAACCAUUUUGCAACCUUGUUUUAAGCCUAUUUCUUUCUUCUCAUCAGUCUAUUUUGAUUAAACCUAAUUCAUUUUGAAAACGAUUUAACUCUUACUCAAAUUCACGAUUGGGCAACAAAUACGACUCGAGACAUCUACAAUCGAGUUCAUAUCAUUUGGUAUCAAAGCUAGUGGAAUUGGAGUAAGAAUCGACGUUCUCGGCACAACGGUAUUGUAGAUUCGAUUAAAAAAUUUCGUGAAUUUAAAAGUAGUUAUUGUAACUAGCAUAUUGUAAGUGAAAAAAAAUUAUUUCAAAAUUAAAAAAAGUGUAAUAGUUUUUCAUUGCCAAAUUUUUUUUAUUUGAAAAAUUUUGCUUAUUGCCCGGAAACAUCCAUUCAACAUCCUACCCUUCGGCCACACCCAACCUUUUCUAAUUCUUUGUUUCAAGCCUACCUUCUUUGUCCUACAACAUUCUUACCAAAACUGUACAUCAAUUUUGCCAAUCGACCCACAACGGCUGCUUCUAAGUCUAACUAGUCCCUUUAAGAACUUAGAGAGGCGGAGUGAGUAGAAAAAGGCAGGAGGGUUGUGAGUUCAUCGAGUGAAGAAAAAGCCAGUGAGUGUGAUUUCUUUGUAAGAGAAUUUGUGAGGUUUUGUUGUGAGUACCUAAAAUAUCCCAAAGUCCAGAAAGAAAUCCAAACGAGGGAGUUGGGAUCCGACCUGUAAGAAACGUUGGAGGAGGCGUGCCAGAUCUCACCCUUCAAGCACUCAUGCGAAUGGAGCGGUUAUUCGAUCGUAAACUCGAACCAAUCGAAGAUCUAUUAUUUCGAGUCAAAACACGAGAACAACAUGAGGCAAGUCCGGAAAUUGCAAGGCGAGGGCAUGGAUGUCCAAUCCAAGAUCCCUAUGAAGUGAGCGAUCAAGAAAGUGAUCAUUCAUCUGCCCAAAGUGUACGUCAACGAGGCUGCCAACGAAAUUGGAGCCCUAGAGAUCAAGCCCUUAAGAAUAUUAAGAUGUCGAUUCCACCAUUCUAAGGUAAGAACGACCCCGAAGCUUAUUUGGAGUGCGAAAAGAAGAUUGAGCUCAUUUUCGAAUGCCAUAAUUAUUCGAAAAGUAAAAAGGUGAAGCUCGCAGCAAUCGAGUUUUUGGAUUAUGCCAUUGUAUGGUGGGACCAACUUGUAAUGAGUCGAAGAUGAAACGGUGAAAGACCCAUCUCUACUUGGGUUGAAAUGAAGUCGGUUAUGCGGAAACGAUUUAUUCCUUCAUACUACCAUCGGGAUCUUUAUCGACGAUUACAAAACGUUACCCAAGGCAAUAAAAGUAUUGAAAACUAUUAUAAAGAAAUGAAGAUAGCAAUGAUCAGAACUGAUAUCGAGGAGGAUCGAGAGGUGACAAUGGCUAGAUUCCUUGAGGGUCUAAACUGUGACAUCGCCAACACAGUUGAAUUACAACACUAUGUUGAAGUGAUGGACAUGGUUCACAUGGCGAUAAAAGUUGAAAAACAACUCAAACGAAAAGGAGUUAAUCGAUCCUACACCAAUCUCUCCACUAACAAGUGGAGGCAAUGAGUCAAUAAAUCCCCUGUUCGAACAAAGGAGCCAGUUGUAGCAACUAAAUCCAAUCAACCCAUUGGUGAGUCAAGUCAGAAUAAAAACGAGUAAGUGCCAAAUCGCGCGAGAGACAUCAAAUGUUUCAAGUGUCAAGGCCAGGGGUACAUAGCUAGCCAAUGUCCCAAUCGACGAGUUAUGGUGGUAAGGGCUGACGACAAAAUUGAAUUCGAGAAAGAAGAUGAAAAUGAGCAUGAAAAGCCAUCCGAUGAUGAUGAUGAAGAUUUGGAGCUUCCGGUUGAAGGCGAGAUCUUUGUGGUGAAAAGGAGCCUCAAUAUUCAAAGUGCUGAAACUGAACAACAACGGGAAAAUAUUUUCCACACCUGGUACAACAUCCAAGGCAAGGUUUGUAGCAUGAUUAUUGAUGGAGGAAGUUGUACUAAUCUAGCAAGUACCAUGUUGAUUGACAGGCUUCAGUUAGCCACGACCAAACACCUAAAUUCAUACAAGCUACAAUGGUUGAAUGAUGGAGGAGAACUUAAAGUGACAAAGCAAGCUGCUGUAGCCUUUUCCAUUGGAAAAUAUCAAGAUAAAGUGGUAUGUGACGUAGUUCCAAUGCAUGUAGGACACCUUCUUUUGGAGUGUCCAUGAUUGUUUGAUCGACGACAAUUCAUGACGGAUACACCAACCGUUACACAUUUAAAUAUCUAGGCAAAAAUGUAACCCUAGCCCCACUUACCCCGAAACAAUUGUAUUAAGAUCAAAUUAAGUUAAAAGAGUCUGUAAAAAAAUCAAAAUAAAAAUAGCAAGAAAAAAAGAAAGAAAAAGAAAAGAAACACGAGAAAAAGAAAGAUACGAGUGAGAGAGUGGAGGUAAAAGCACGAGAGGAAAAAAGAAGUCAAAAAGAAAAUGAGAGUAAUAAAAUAAGUGUAUUUGUGAGGGAAAGAGGAAUAAGAAAAUCUUUGUUGAUGCGCCAAUCUAUGCUUGUACUUAUGUACAAUGAGUGUUUAUUCGAUGCUAACAAACUUGAUAACUCUUUGCCUUUUUCUGUUGUUUCAUUACUUCAGAAAUUCGAACAAAUUUUUUGGAAGAAGUGCCUAGUGGUUGCCUCCUCUCUGAGGAAUCGAACACCAAAUAGACUUUGUUCCCGGGGCUAUAAUUCCAAAUCGACCAGCUUACUGAAGCAACCCCGUGGAAACUAAAGAGUUGCAACAAAAAGUAGUGGAAUUAAUAGAGAAAAGUUAUAUAAAGGAGAGUCUAAGUCCAUGCGCAAUACCAGUUUUGUUGGUGCCUAAAAAGGAUGGAUCGUGGAAGAUGUACGUAGAUUGCCGAGCCAUCAACAAGAUUACUGUCAAAUACCAUCAUCUCAUCCCUAGACUUGAUGAUAUGUUAAAUGAGCUUAGCGGUGCUAAAUUAUUCUCUAAGAUCGAUCUGAAAAGCGGCUAUCAUCAAAUUCGCAUGCGGGAGAGGGACGAGUGAAAGACUGGGUUUAAGACCAAAUAUGAUUUGUAUAAGUGGCUAGUGAUGCCAUUCGGCCUCACCAAUGCCCCGAGUACUUUCAUGAGGUUGAUGAACCACCUUUUGAGGUCUUUCAUUGGUCAUUUUUGCGUAGUUUAUUUUGACGAUAUAUUAAUUUAUAGUAAAUCCUUAUCUGAUCAUCUUAAACAUCUGCGUGCUGUUUUGGAGGUUUUGCGAAAGAAAGUCUUGUAUGUAAACCUUAAGAAAUGUAACCUUUUUACUGACAAAGUUGUUUUUCUAAGUUUUGUUGUAAGUGCGAGUGGCCUCGAGGUGGAUCAAGACAAGAUUAAAGCGAUACAAGAAUGACCACGUUCGACAAACAUCAGCCAAGUUAGAAGCUUUCAUAGUCUUACAUGCUUCUAUAGGAGGUUUAUGCGAACUUCAGCACUUUUGCUGCCUCAUUAACUGGUAUUAUCAAAAAGAAUUCUCCUUUCAUUUGGUUUGAUGAACAAGAAUUUGCUUUUGUUAAAAUCAAAGAUUGUUUAACUAAUGCUCCACUUUUGUGUUUACCAGAUUUUAACAAAAUUUUCAAGGUGGAAUAUGAUGUCUCUAGUAUAGGUAUAGGUGUGAUUUUAACACAAGAUGGGUGUCCGGUGGCUUAUUUCAGUGAGAAACUUAACGGGGCUACACUCAAUUACCCCACCUAUGACAAGGAAAUGUAUAAGUUGAUACGUGCAUUAGAGACAUGGCAGUAUUACCUUUGGUCGAAAGAGUUCGUUAUACACACAGACCAUAAGGCUUUAAAACACUUGAGAGGGCAAACCAAGCUCAACAAACAUCAUGCAAAAUGGGUCGAGUUCUUAGAAUCCUUCCCAUAUGUGAUUAAAUGUAAGCAAGGUAAGGAAAAUAUCAUUGCGGAUGCUCUGUCGUGAAGGUAUGUUCUUUUAAACCAUUUGGAAGUUAAAUUGCUUGGUUUUGGUUAUUUGAAGGAUUCAUAUGCUGAUAAUUCUGAUUUUGGAGAAAUUUACAAGUUAUGUGUGCAAGGUGCGUAUAAUAGGUACUAUCAGUAAGAUAGAUUCCUUUUUUGAGAAAACAAAUUGUGCAUAACCCAAGGAUCAACUAGAAACAUGUUGGUUCAUGAAGCGCACAGUGGGGGUUUAAUGGGUCAUUUCAGUAUUGGCAAAACUUUGGCCGUUCUUCAAGAAAACUUCUAUUCGCCAAAAAUGAAACGAGAUGUGGCUAAAGUAUGCGAGCGCUGUUUUGCUUGCAAAAAGGCGAAAUCAAAGGUCCAGCCACAUGGACUUUAUACUUCGUUACCGAUCCCAGAAGCACCAUGGAUGGAUAUUUCUAUGGAUUUCGUUCUAGGUCUUCCUAGAACAAAGAACAGGAAAGACUCUAUAUUUGUUGUAGUUGAUAGCUUUUCAAAAAUGGCUCAUUUCAUUGCGUGUAACAAAACUGACGAUGCUCUAAAUGUUGCCAAUCUAUUUUUUAGAGAGAUCAUAUGAUUACAUGGUGUUCUGAAGACCAUCUUUUUGGACUGAAACACCAAGUUCCUUAGCCAUUUUUGGAGAACCUUAUAGGGCAAGCUUGGCACCAAACUAUUAUUUUCAACAACAAGCCAUCCCCAAACCGAUGGCCAAAUGGAGGUCAUUAAUCGUGUUUUGUCAACACUUUUGCGGGCAAUUAUUCAAAAGAAUCUAAAAACUUGAGAUGAGUGUUUACCCCACUUUGAAUUCGCAUAAAAUUGAUCGGUACACUCGGCUACUAAGUAUUCACCAUUUGAGGUAGUCUAUGGUUUUAAUCCAUUAACUUUGUUGGGUUUGUUGCCCUUACCCUCUGAUCAAUUGAUGCAUGUAGAUGGAAAGAAAAAUGCAUAAUUUGUAAAAAAAUUGCAUCAGCGAGUUAGGGAUAAUAUUGAAAGAAAAACCGAGCAAUAUGCUCGUAAAGUCAAUAAGGGAUGUAAACGAGUGACGUUUGAACCCAGUGACUGGGUUUGGAUUCACAUGCAUAAGGAGAUAUUUCUAGAUCAAAGAUGAUCCAAACUUUUGUGGAGAGGAGACGGUCCUUUUCAAAUCUUGGAAAGGAUUAACGAUAAUGCCUAUAAGUUAGACUUACCUGGUGAGCAUAGAGUUAGUGCUACUUUUAAUGUUGCUGAUUUAUCCCCCUUUGAUGUAGGUGACGUGAUACGUGAUAUUCGCGACAAGUUUUAAAAAUUUAUAAUUAAUCGUUCUUGAAACUAACUAUUAUCACGAUGAAGGCAAGUGUACCUAUCGAACAGUAGUAUAGCUUUAGCAAGACCGGAUUGUCAAACUCAAAGGAACCAAGAGUACUAGUAAUUACUUUCUUUUUAUUAUCUAACCUAAAAAUUAAAGGAUUUGUUUAUCUAAACUAAUGAACUAAACUAAGGGUGCACAGAUAGAAAAUUGGGAAAAACUUUUGGGAAAACUCGAUUGAUUAAGACAAUACCCAAGGAAAAAUCCACCUAGACUUCACUUGUUAUUUGACUCUAAAUCAGACAAUUUAUUCAUUUGACUUGAUCCGUAGAAAUCCCUAAGUUAUAUUAUUAUCUCUCUCGAGACUAAUAAUGUCUAACCCUAGGUUGAUUAAUGUAACACCCCUAUCCCGUAACCAUCGCCGGAAUAGGACGAGGCGUUAACAGAAUUUAGGAAUCGGAUCAGAACAGUAAAAUUUUGAACCUUUUCUUAAAUAAAAGAUCAUUUAUUUAUAUAACUAAUAGACACAAACAAAGAUCGAAUUUAAAACUUAUAAAAGUAAACUUCCAUAAGAUGCCAUAUUCGCAUGGCUUAUAUACAAUAGUCAAAAUAUCAUUCUACUUAUAGUUUAUCCUAUACAUGCCAUAAGCUAAGUCCAAAUCACAUGAUUACUACAAUAGUAGAUAGCGUGACGAAGUACUGACGAUCCCCGAGCUAAUAGUAAGAGUCAACGAUCUACAAAAAUAAAAAGAGAAACAUAACAUUCAAAGUAAGCUUUCAUAAGCUUAGUAAGUCUUAAGCAAUUUAAACAGUUGAACUUAAAAACAAACCAAAUGUUCGAAAUCACAUAACACUUUCUGAGUACAAUACUAUUUGGCUGAUUAUGCACAAACACAUAUCAUUUUACUCCGUUUAUACUCAAACUCAUAUAAACAUAGUAUUUACAAGCUUCCAGAUUAACUUUAAUUUUUUCAAAUUUCACUAGUGUAUCAUUUCUUACCCACACUUACUUUCAAAAUUCAUAGUUAAAUGGCAUAUCGAAAAUUACAUUGUAACUUUGCAUAAUAACUGAAUACACACAUAUACAAACAUACAUAUGAAUUUACAACAUCUUUUCAUAUGUUACUCAUUACACAUUCUUAAUUCCCGUCAGAUCAAUCUCACAUAUAAUAUAUAUAUCACAUACCUGAAUCACUUAAUGUGUAAUACGAGUUCAAUUUAUCAUCAUAGCGUAGGAUCUCGUAGUCAUAUACUUUAUCAAAUUCACUAACACUUGGCUGCGAGGUAUAAAACUCGAACAUAACACCAGCAUGAAGCCUACGGGACUUUAAACUCAGAUAUAAUACCAGCACUAGGCCUGCGGGAUUUAACCCGGAUACACAUCAAAUAUCAUGCAUAUUUAAUCAUAUAUUAACACAUCUCAUUCAACAUAUCACAUUAGUAGUCAUUUGCUACAAUCGGAUAUAAGCUUCAUAUGAACACCAUCAUUCAAACUUAACCCAUAGUAACCAUUCGACUAAAAGUCAUAUACAUAAAUUAUUUAUCGCACAACUUAAUUCAAGUAGAACCAAAAGGUCACAAUUCAUCUAAUAUAUACAUAUUGCUCACUGAUUCGCACACAACCUUUCAAAUUAGCAAUUAUAAGAUGGUUCCGCACAUAGCCCAUCCUUAUCGAUAAUUUACGAUGGUUUUACCCUUACUCACAUAUACAACAUUUUUACCUAUGCUUCUCAAUUCACAUUCAUGAUUCAAUUCCAAUCAAUUUAACAUGCAUAAGUACAUAUCGCAUACUUGGCCAACUUAAUGUAUUGAAUGAAUUCGAUUGUCAAUUUAACAAAAGGUCUUAUAGUUGAACCUAAACAUGAAACCAUUUCUUAUAGGUUCGAUUCACAUCAACCAUCAUUUUCAUUUAAUUCACAUGUACAUAAUUAGGUUGUUCGUACCUGAAUAAUUUACUUUACGGAACAAAUCCAUAUAUCGUAUUAGCCCAUAGUCUUAUAACACCAUACUUUUAAUAGUUCACCUCAUCGAAGUUCACAAUUAAUCACUUUAGUGCCAAGCCAUAUUCGGUUACCACAAAGGACUAAUAAUAAUAAUUUUAUACACAUCAUGGUUUCCUUUAGAUAUUUAAUAAUCACAAAUCGUGAUAUCUUUACCAACACAUAUACGACAUAGUUUAUUCAUUGUAACACUCAUUUAGUGCAUCAAAUUUCCAAGUCCAAUUCAACUGAAGCAUAAUAGCCAUAAUCGGCUUAUAGCCUUAAAUCAUUACAUAUUCGGCACAUUAAAUUUAGAUUCUCUUUGCCAUAUUAAUUUAACUCUUAGGCAUAUAAAAAGGAAUCAAGCUUAAACACUUAAGAACUUACCUCGAAUGUUACCGAACGAUUACAACGGCUAUUCGAUUACUUUCUCUUUUCCCUUAUCCGAAUUUUCCCCUCUAUGCUCUUGAGCUUAAAUUCAACAAUUUUAAACUUAGUCAUUAUUCGACUAUUCAAGCAUCACUUUCAGAAUAUAUAAUAUAUAUAUUCGACUUUCACACAUACAGAUCAUAGUAAGCUUAUAAGAAAUCAAUAAGCAACUCAUUAACAAAUUUUUGUUAAUGUUUACCACAUAAUCAUAAUUUCACUACAAGCUGUCUUCCUGAGCAACAGUCACUAAAUCAUUUAUAACUGGAGCUACGAAACUCCAAAUCAAUUUCCGUUAAUUUUCCAUGAAAAUAGACUCAUAUAUCUUCUAUGCAUAAAAUUUUCAAAAUUUUUGGUUUUUCCAAUCAAUACCAGAUUUUUCUUAAAGUUUCCCCUAUUUCACUAUUUGACUAAUCUGACCACUCUUCACUACGAAUCAAAAUUCUCAUUGUACAAAAUUCAAAAUAUGUUCUAGUUGAUUUCAUUUGAAACUAGAAUCAUUAAGGAAUCUGAGCAUAUAAACUUUAUCUUAUAACCAUUUGUGUACAAAUUAUAAUGAUUUUCUAAAUAAAAGGAAUAGGGGACCCCGAAGUCAUUUGACUCUAUCCCACACCACUUCAAAUAUCUCAUUAUCAGAAAUUCAUUUGCUUUCACGGUUUCUUUUAUAAGAAACUAGGCUCAUUAAGAUUUAAUUACAUAAUUUAUUCAGCUUCUAAAUCAUCUCCCACAAUUUAUGGUGAUUUUCCAAAAUCACAUUACUGCUGCUAUCCCAAGCAGAUUUAUUACCAAUUCACUCUUUCACACAUACCUUGCAUUCACAUUAUUUAAACAUGUAUAUCACGAAUCAAUUUCAUCACAUAUCUAUACUUUCACUUACCCAUAAUCCUAAUACAAUACAUCAUGCUCAAUUAUACCUUAACUUAUCCAUUCCUUUCAUUUAAACAACCCACAUAACUUAUUCAUUCAUGAACACAUUCGGCACUAUACAUCUUUACAAAUAUUUCUUGGCACCUUUAUCAUAUUUUAACAAUCGGCAUAACCGUGUUACCAAUCUAAUACAUCAAAAUUUACUUAUCCAGGACUACAUUCAGCAUAUAUAUAUUCACAUAAACACAAUAGCCGAACACUUCAUGAAGUUACCGAGACUCAUCAUUUGCUAUUUCACACACACUCACAUCCAAUCCUUUUUAUUAAACACUCAAAAUCAACCAUCUUCAUGCCUUAUCACAAAAAUAUCAAAACACCGACCAAGACACUCUACAACCCAUAGCCGAAUGCAUCACUUCAAACCAAUAACAAAAAUUGAGUCAUGGGCUAUGAAAGGAGCUUAGCAAUUAACUCAAUUUCACAUAAAUUAUCAAGAAAUAAAAUUAAACAUACCUUCAAUUAGAAUCACCAAGGCCAAAUAUCAAAGAGCCUUUUUUUUCUACCUUAGAUUCUGAGUUUUCUCCUUGGCCGAAAUCCUCAAAAUAUCUUUCCUCUUUCUUUUUCCCACAUUCGGCAAGAACAGGCAAGGAUGUUUGGUCCCUUUUUCUUUUCUUUUUUUUUUAUUCAUUCACCUUACCCAUUAACUAUUAUAAUAUUAAUAUGUAAGGCAUAUAUGGCUAUUCCACCAUCAACAUCGCCGGCCACUUACUUAAAAAUGGGGAAUUUGACAUGCAAAUCCCCAUAUUUUAAGCCAUGCAAUAUUUGACCACUACACUUCAACCUAUCAGAAUUUCAAUAUUUUUCACAUAAGUCCUUUUUAAUUAAUUUCACAUUUAAAUAACUAAAUCAAAGCAUGAAAUUUUCACACAUACACUUUCACAUGUAAUAAUCACAGAAUAUAACAUUUAAUUAUUUUUGUGACUCAAUUUUGUGGUCCCGAAACCACUUCCCGACUAGGGUCAAAUUAGGACUGUCAUAACUCUCCCCCCUUAGGGAUUUUCGUCCCCGAAAAUCUUAGUAGCGACUAGGUUAGGAUAACGUCCUCUUAUUGAAUUAUGUCCAUAUAAACAUUAGCUCAUCAAUAAUAAUUGUAAUUCAUUACUGCUUUCACAUCGAUCUAUAAAAUCACUUUCUUAUCUUAAAACAAAUACAUAAACAUUUCUACAAAUAUACACAUACAUCUCAUUUUCUUGAUUUCAUAAGCAAUAAUCACUUAAUUGAAUUUAUACUUGCAUUUCAAACACAUAUAAAUCACAUAUUAACAUGUAUAAUACAUAACAUCAACUCACAUAUUCAUAACCCACAUUUUCAUUCAUGUAUAAGCUGUAACCUGGCCGAAAGUAUACAUAUUCUCAAACAUCCUAAUGAAUAUCCUUUAAAACUUUAUCACAUCUCAAUAUUCAACUUAACUCAUUUCCAAAAGAAAAGUCAACUUCCACGUACCUGGACAUUUAGUUCAUUUAGCACAUUCAAUCAUAGUUAACGUUACCCGUAUACAGUCGAAUAGACAUAAAGCCUAAUAUAAUACACUGGCAUGAGAUUUAUUCUAGCGCAUAACUCGUAUAUCCAAAAUUAUCGGCAUUCAUCAAAAAUUCUUACAAACUUUCGAAUGUCGAAACUUAAUCAAAAUAAUUUCUUGAAUAAGAUUAACAAAAUAGUGUCCAUUCAGCAAUAGCACAUAUAACUUCAUAUACCGAGAAUCUCAUAGACUAAAUCCAUAACACAUUUUCAAUUAAGCACUUAAGUGUACAUAUAACAUAAAUCCAUUCCUUAACAACAUAUCCACCACUUUUUUUUUCGUAUCCACUUGUAACAAAAUUACAGCCGAAACAAUAAUCAAUCAUCAAUUUAUAUCUAUUAAUCCCUAAUUCAAACUCAAAUACCGAAUAUCAGUAUCUAAUUAAAAUUCAACAUCUAACUUCAAUUCUACUUCCUAACAUUUGUCAAUUUAAAGAGCGUCGUACUUGUCUGAGUAUGUCGUUUACUUUAAGCCAUAGUCCAACCAUGGUCUUACAUGUUAUCACAUAUCGAGUCGAUGCCAUGUCCUAGACAUGGUCUUACACAACAUCUCAAAUCAAUGCCUUCGUCCCAGACGAGGUCUUACAUGAAUCUCAUCUCACACACUUAGUGCCCACUAACCGAUCUCGCACACAUAGUGCUCGGUUAAAGGAAUUUGCACACACAGUGCCUCUAAUCAUUCGCACACAUAAUGCCCAUAUUCAUUCGUUAUUACACAUUGAAAUGACUUAACCAAGUCUAUAAAACAUCAUAUAUGUACACUUUAAACGUAUUCUUUUAUUUAACUUUGAAUUCAUAUAGUAAUGAACACUUAAACCUUGCUCGAAUUACCGGCAUUAAGCCUGCUAGGCACGAAGACCCGAAUACACAUCACCGAGUUUCAUGCAUAUUUAUUCACAUUUUAAUACAUUUCAUAUAGCAUAUCAUAUUUGUAAUUCACUUACUUCGUUUCAAUAUAUACAUAUCAUAUACAACUUGACAUUAUAUCAUAGAUAUCUUUUACAUGUAGGCUCAUUCCAAAUACAUUAUUUUCUCUUCAAAGUUCUCAUUCACAUAUUUAAAACAUAACAUCAUAUAUAACAUUAACAAAGCAUAAACUACACAGCAAUUCCAUCUCUAAUAGAUGACAUAUAUAUGUAUAUAUUUCGCCCAUUUACAUAAAAUCCUGAACCAAAAUAUAACUUCUCAUGCAUACAAUAUACAUCACUAUUAUCCUAAUAUACGUUUCCAUAUUUAUUUCAUAACACAUUCAGCAAAAUUACUUUGCAUUUCAAUACUUCAAAUGUAUAUCAUACUUCUAUUCAUACAUUUCUCAAUUUUGACAGAUCAUAAGCAUGUUUCAAUCCUCUCAAUACCAUCUGCUACAGCUUGAUCGGGAUCAGAAUUCAUUAUAUUACGAAAAACACAUUUUAACUGUCAGAAAUCAUCACACUAUCAUUUUAUCACAAUAUGCAUGUAUAGCUAGACUCACACGUGCUACGUUAGUCCUAGAAUCGACUAAACUGUAGCUCUGAUACCAAUAAAAAUGUAACACCCCUAUCCCGUAACCAUCGCCGGAAUAGGACGAGGCGUUAACAGAAUUUAGGAAUCGGAUCAGAACAGUAAAAUUUUGAACCUUUUCUUAAAUAAAAGAUCAUUUAUUUAUAUAACUAAUAGACACAAACAAAGAUCGAAUUUAAAACUUAUAAAAGUAAACUUCCAUAAGAUGCCAUAUUCGCAUGGCUUAUAUACAAUAGUCAAAAUAUCAUUCCACUUAUAGUUUAUCCUAUACAUGCCAUAAGCUAAGUCCAAAUCACAUGAUUACUACAAUAGUAGAUAGCGUGACGAAGUACUGACGAUCCCCGAGCUAAUAGUAAGAGUCAACGAUCUACAAAAAUAAACAGAGAAACAUAACAUUCAAAGUAAGCUUUCAUAAGCUUAGUAAGUCUUAAGCAAUUUAAACAGUUGAACUUAAAAACAAACCAAAUGUUCGAAAUCACAUAACACUUUCUGAGUACAAUACUAUUUGGCUGAUUAUUCACAAACACAUAUCAUUUUACUCCGUUUAUACUCAAACUCAUAUAAAUAUAGUAUUUACAAGCUUCCGGAUUAACUUUAAUUCUUUCAAAUUUCACUAGUGUAUCAUUUCUUACCUACACUUACUUUCAAAAUUCAUAGUUAAAUGGCAUAUCGAAAAUUACCUUGUAACUUUGCAUAAUAACUGAAUACACACAUAUACAAAUAUACAUAUGAAUUUACAACAUCUUUUCAUAUGUUACUCAUUACACAUUCUUAAUUCCUGUCAGAUCAAUCUCACAUAUAAUAUAUAUAUCACAUACCUGAAUCACUUAAUGUGCAAUACGAGUUCAAUUUAUCAUCAUAGCGUAGGAUCUCGUAGUCAUAUACUUUAUCAAAUUCACUAACACUUGGCCUGCGAGGUAUAAAACUCGAACAUAACACCAGCACGAAGCCUACGGGACUUUAAACUCAGAUAUAAUACCAGCACUAGGCCUGCGAGAUUUAACCCGGAUACACAUCAAAUAUCAUGCAUAUUUAAUCAUAUAUUAACACAUCUCAUUCAACAUAUCACAUUAGUAGUCAUUUGCUACAAUCGGAUAUAAGCUUCAUAUGAACACCAUCAUUUACAUUUCGGUUCAAAAGUCAUACAUAAAUAUCACAUAUCCAUUUCACCAUUCAAACUUAACCCAUAGUAACCAUUCGACUAAAAGUCAUAUACAAAAAUUAUUUAUCGCACAACUUAAUUCAAGUAGAACCAAAAGGUCACAAUUCAUCUAAUAUAUACAUAUUGCUCACUGAUUCGCACACAACCUUUCAAAUUAGCAAUUAUAAGAUGGUUCCGCACAUAGCCCAUCCUUAUCGAUAAUUUACGAUGGUUUUACCCUUACUCACAUAUACAACAUUUUUACCUAUGCUUCUCAAUUCACAUUCAUGAUUCAAUUCCAAUCAAUUUAACAUGCAUAAGUACAUAUCGCAUACUUGGCCAACUUAAUGUAUUGAAUGAAUUCGAUUGUCGAUUUAACACAAGGUCUCAUAGUUGAACCUAAACAUGAAACCAUUUCUUAUAGGUUCGAUUCACAUCAAUCAUCAUUUUCAUUUAAUUCAUAUGUACAUAAUUAGGUUGUUCAUACCUGAAUAAUUUACUUUACGGAACGAAUCCACAUAUCGUAUUAGCCCAUAGUCUUAUAACACCAUACUUUUAAUAGUUCACCUCAUCGAAGUUCACAAUUAAUCACUUUAGUGCCAAGCCAUAUUCGGCUACCACAAAGGACUAAUAAUAAUAAUUUUAUACACAUCAUGGUUUCCUUUAGAUAUUUAAUAAUCACAAAUCGUGAUAUCUCUACCAACACAUAUACGGCAUAGUUUAUUCAUUGUAACACUCAUUUAGUGCAUCAAAUUUCCAAGUCCAAUUCAACUUAAGCAUAAUAGCCAUAAUCGGCUUAUAGCCUUAAAUCAUUACAUAUUCGGCACAUUAAAUUUAGAUUCUCUUUGCCAUAUUAAUUUAACUCUUAGGCAUAUAAAAAUGAAUCAAGCUUAAACACUUAAGAACUUACCUCGAAUGUUACCGAACGAUUACAACGGCUAUUCGAUUACUUUCUCUUUUCCCUUAUCCGAAUUUUCCCCUCUAUGCUCUUGAGCUUAAAUUCAACAAUUUUAAACUUAGUCAUUAUUCGACUAUUCAAGCAUCACUUUCAGAAUAUAUAAUAUAUAUACAUUCAAUUUUCACACAUACAGAUCAUAGUAAGCUUAUAAGAAAUCAAUAAGCAACUCAUUAACAAUUUUUUGUCAAUGUUUACCACAUAAUCAUGAUUUCACUGCAAGCUGUCUUCCUGAGCAACAGUCACUAAAUCAUUUAUAACUGGAGCUACGAAACUCCAAAUCAAUUUCCGUUAAUUUUCCAUGAAAAUAGACUCAUAUAUCUUCUAUGCAUAAAAUUUUCAGAAUUUUUGGUUUUUCCAAUCAAUACCAGAUUUCUCUUGAAUUUUCCCCUGUUUCACUAUUUGACUAAUCUGACCACUCUUCACUACGAAUCAAAAUUCUCAUUGUACAAAAUUCAAAAUAUGUUCUCGUUGAUUUCAUUUGAAACUAGAAUCAUAAAGGAGUCUAAGCAUAUAAACUUUAUCUUAUAACCAUUUUUUUACAAAUUAUAAUGAUUUUCUAAAUAAAAGGAACAGGGGACCCUGAAGUCAUUUGACUCUAUCCCACACCACUUCAAAUAUCUCAUUAUCAGAAAUUCAUUUGCUUUCACGGUUUCUUUUAUAAGAAACUAGGCUCAUUAAGCUUUAAUUACAUAAUUUAUUCAGCUUCUAAAUCAUCUCCCACAAUUUAUGGUGAUUUUCCAAAAUCACAUUACUGCUGCUGUCCCAAGCAGAUUUAUUACCAAUUCACUCUUUCACACAUACCUUGCAUUCACAUUAUUUAAACAUGUAUAUCACGAAUCAAUUUCAUCACAUAUCUAUACUUUCACUUACCCAUAAUCUCAAUACAAUACAUCAUGCUCAAUUAUACCUUAACUUAUCCAUUCCUUUCAUUUAAACAACCCACAUAACUUAUUCAUUCAUGAACACAUUCGGCACUAUACAUCUUUACAAAUAUUUCUUGGCACCUUUAUCAUAUUUUCACAAUCGGCAUAACCGUGUUACCAAUCUAAUACAUCAAAAUUUACUUAUCCAGGACUACAUUCAGCAUAUAUAUAUUCACAUAAACACAAUAGCCGAACACUUCAUGAAGUUACCGAGACUCAUCAUUUGCUAUUUCACACACACUCACAUCCAAUCCUUUUUAUUAAACACUCAAAAUUAACCAUCUUCAUGCCUUAUCACAAAAAUAUCAAAACACCGACCAAGACACUCUACAACCCAUAGCCGAAUGCAUCACUUCAAACCAAUAACAAAAAUUGAGUCAUGGGCUAUGAAAGGAGCUUAGCAAUUAACUCAAUUUUACAUAAAUUAUCAAGAAAUAAAAUUAAACAUACCUUCAAUUAAACAUACCUUAGAUUCUGAGUUUUCUCCUUGGCCGAAAUCCUCAAAAUAUCUUUCCUCUUUCUUUUUCCCACAUUCGGCAAGAACAGGCAAGGAUGUUUGGUCCCUUUUUCUUUUCUUUUUUUUUAUUCAUUCACCUUACCCAUUAACUAUUAUAAUAUUAAUAUGUAAGGCAUAUAUGGCUAUUCCACCAUCAACAUGGCCGACCACUUACUUAAAAAUGGGGAAUUUGACAUGCAAAUCCCCAUAUAUUAAGCUAUGCAAUAUUUGACCACUAUACUUCAACCUAUCACAAUUUCAAUAUUUUUCACAUAAGUCCUUUUUAAUUAAUUUCACAUUUAAAUAACAAAAUCAAAGCAUGAAAUUUUCACACAUACACUUUCACAUGUAAUAAUCACAGAAUAUAACAUUUAAUUAUUUUUGUGACUCAAUUUUGUGGUCCCGAAACCACUUCCCGACUAGGGUCAAAUUAGGACUGUCACAACUAAUUGAAAUCUCUUUCUAAUUAACACCCUAGUGUUGCAUUAACUAGAUCUAUGGACUCCCUUAUUAAGUUUCACCCUAAUCCGGCAAAAUAUUGUCACCCUAUCUCUAGGCGUGCAAUAACUUCGCUUAAUUACGACAAAUUUACUUUUAAACAGAGACUUUUGGUCCUUUUGAAUAAGAGCAUUAACUUGAUUCAAUAUCCUGGAAUAUUAAAACAAGAAUUAAGUAUACAUAAUUAAGAAUAAGUUAAAUAUUUAUCAUACAAUUCAGAUAAUAAUAACAAGAUCUGUCUUAGGUUUCAUUCCCCUUAGGUAUUUAGGGGGUUUAGUUCAUAAUUAUGAAAGAAAACAUCUCAAAUGAAUAAAGAUAACAAAACAUAAAGAAAACCCAAACUCCUGGAGGAAAUUGAAGUGAGAUCUUCAGUCUUGACAAUGAAUCCGGAAUCUGAGAUGGAUCAAUUGGCUUUCCUUGAGUAAUUCCUUACCUCCUCCUUUGUGUGUCUCCUCUAAGUGCCUCUUCCGGUUUUUAAAUAGGCUUUAGAAUGCCUCAGAGCCCUUAAAAGUGGCCUUUUCCGAAUAGGACUAUACUUGGGCUCGACAGGGACACGCUCGUGUGUGAUUGCUUCAGACCGUGGUCAGGGCUGUUAAAUGGGCACGGGCGUGUGGUCCACCCGUGUGAGGAAGUCCAGGCCGUGUUGAUUUCCCAUGUUAGCCCGUUUUCUCUAUUUUUGGCCCGUUUCUCGCUCUUUUUACUCUUCUAUGCUCACCUAAGUAUAAAACAUGAAAUUAAAGGAUUAGGAGCAUCGAAUUCACCAAAUCUAAGGAGAAAUUAUCCAUAAAUGUGCUAAGCAUGGGAUAAAAAUAUGUAUAAAUUACAGUUUAUCAUGACGAUUUGGGGACAAAUCGCCUCGAAGAGAGGGGAAUGAUGCGACCAUAACUCUGAAAGUUACCAUCGAACCCAUUGGGCUGCCACAAAGUCCUAUAACUCAGUUUCGAGCUAAAAGGUUUCAAGAUGCAUUAGCAAGCUAUGUUGAUCGAGCUUGGGGAGAGCAAAUAGCCGAAUCCAUUGAACAUGCUUGGAUCAACUCAAUAGGUGUCCCUUGCAAUUUAUUACAAGCUGAAUUUUACUUUUAAUUGAACUCAUCUUAGUUAUUAAUUGAGUUGCUAGAAUAAAUGCUUAUCUUAGUUAAUUUAGUUGUUGGAAUAAUUUAUUGUUACAUAUGUUUAAUGUGUUUAAUGUGUGAUUAAUGUGUUUAAUAUGUUUAAUGUGUUUUAAUGUGUUUGUUAAAUGAAUGCUUAUAGGUGACUAUUUAGCUGGAAUCGAUUACAAACAAGGAGCUGUUACAAAGUGUUAAAUGCGACUAUUUAGUUGGAAUCAGUUAUAUACAAGGGGCUGUUACAAUAUUUAAAGAGGAGCAUUUUUCACCAUUUAAAUUCAACAGCCUAUUCCUCUUCUCCAAGGAGCUGUUUAAGAAUAGCAAAGGACAAAGGAGUGAUUACACAUUCCAUAACCGAUUGCCUCUUAAUGAUCAUACCAUGGUCUGUUUGAGUGCCCAAAAUGUUAUCCAUAUUGCUGGUGUCUAUUCAAUUGCUCAAGUUUUCAAGUUCAAUUAAAUCAUGUUGAUAGUUGAUGUUACUUAGUCCUAGAGAUUUUAAGAGUUUGUGCUUAGUGAUUAAGUUUCAUUUCAGCUCAUAACUGCUCAUUAAAGCUGAAUUCAAGUGACUUAUUGGCUAGGUCCCUUGUAGCACUAUAAAUAUUUUUUAAUCAGCUUGUUUAGAGAACUUUUUGCUGAAUUUAUGUUAAAUUUGAAACUUGUUGAGAUUUCCAAUUUUCUUUGUUCUUUCGGGACUGAAUUGACUUAUCAAGUAUUCUUGUGGCAUCAAUUUGUUCUUUGUUAAACUGAACUUAUUACCUUUGGUGUGGCAUUCAUAUACCUUAGGUUCCUAUCACAUUUGAUAGCGGGUCAAGCUUUUGUGCUAUUUUCCCUAAAUCGAAUUCACCUAAGACCUAUUUUGAGUUUCGGGUCAACAAUCACAUUAUUGUUGGUUCAUUCUCAAGCCUUAAUCGAAUUACCUAUCUUUGCUUAACCAUUUCACAACCUUGUUUUAAGCCUAUUUCUUUAUUCUCAUCAGUCUAUUUUGAUUAAACUUAAUUCAUUUUGAAAACGAUUCAACUCUUACUCAAAUUCACUAUUGGGCAACAAAUACGACUCGAGACAUCUACAACUGAGUUCGUAUCACUCAACAAAUCAACAUUUGAUAUAUCUAAUACUUGAUGAUAUAUAAAACUAGAAUAUAUACAAAUGAUUGACACUCUAAGUACAUGCCACAAAUUACAUAUAUGCUAAUUUCAUACUCUCAAAAGACUUGUUGAUAGUGUAAUGAUUUGAUGGUUGAACUUAGCUUCGCGAACCCAAAAUGAAAUCUACACGAAAAGACAACGGCGCGAAAAAAUAAUUUCUCAGAUGGAAAUCACUAUAUUUACCUUACCUCAAGGUGAGAAAAUCAAGUACAUAACUCAACAUUUAAAACAUAACGAGGAAAAGUGAUAACAUGACAAAGUUAAAGAUAUAGUGAACAAAUCUGAGCAUAAAGGAAUUUAUGUCAUGUUAACAUCAUAGUCAACCAAGUCUUAGCUUUUUCAUAUUAACAUCAUGCCACUAAGUACAUAAUCAUAACUUAUAAUCAAUUAAAAAUGAUAAUAAAUUUGUGAUGACCUCAAUUUCUACUAGUUCAAAAUUUCAACAUACAUAAAAAAAGUUUUCAUUCUUAUUGACAUUCAACAUUCAGAGUUGUAGAUUUUAGCCCAUUGUAACUUUAGCAAAAUAAGGCUCAGACACACAAGAAUUUACCAAUCACACUAGAUAAAUAUUACACUAUAGCUGCAUUCCAAGUAGACACAUCGAGAGCAUUGCACUAAACAUGCAUUCAACAUAACACACUAGAGAUCUCUUAAGAGAAUAAGUCUAAUGGUCCAUACAAUGUGCCAACCCAUGGAAACAAAAACAAAGCUCCAACUCCACACAAAACCUAUACAAAAGUGUGCAACAAACCCUAAUUGGCAUGUCAAUCGUAUCUUUACUUUUCUACCAAGUUUAAUGAUUAAAGGUUUAUAACCAAUUACUAAUAGAGUAGAGAAUUUUAUAAUCUUUCUUACUCUGAACACACAAACCCUAGAUAAUUGGGUGGUAAAGAUGAUAAAAAAAGGACUUAAAUACGAUUUUAUAGACUAAAUUUAAAAAAAUAAUAAUAAAAGAAAAUGGUGAAGAUUUAAAGAAAUUUGUAAUGCCCCAAACCCAUCUCCGUCGUCGGAUGAGGGUCAUGAGUAUUACAAUAAAAUUUUAAACAUUUUAACAUUACACGGAAACAAUCAUUCAAAUAUAUUUAUAAAUAAAAAAAUCACAUUCUAAUUAUAAUAAACGUGCACUUACGGGUCCCUAAAAAUAGUUUGGGAACAUUCUGGGGUCAAUUUGAAAUAAAAUAAAAAGUUUAGGAAAAAGUUGAAAAUUUUUAAUUUAGGGGGCACACGACCGUGUAGCCAGGUCAUGUGUCACAGUCUAGACCUUGUGGACAUUUGAAGUCCAGACACAGGCUGUGUUCCAGCCUAUGUGUGCAUUCGAUGUUAGAUCACAUGACCGUGUUGCAGGCCGUGUGCCAGAUUGUGUUCAAAAUUGUUUUGGAAUACAAGGCCAUGUCUCAGGCCGAGUGUGUAACAGCUCGUUUUCAGUAAAAUUGAAACAGUGGUUUCUGGACCAUAAAUUUGAUGUGAAAAUAUUUAUUUUAUUAUUAUUUUAAUGUCUAUAGCAUGAUAGUAGAGUCAUAAGAAAAUUUCGUUAAGAAAUGUUAUCGUUUGCAUACUUAAUUUGAUAAAAAUGACUAAAUCGCCUAGAGUACAAAAGUUGAGUUCUAGUAGCUAAAGGUAUUUAAUAGCUAUAGAACAUUAGUGUAUGAGUCCUUAAGUUGAAAAUAGACCAUUAAUUAGAGUAGUGGACAAGUUUGGACAUCAUUAAUGUGACUAAGUAAGGUUAUAUAAGUAAUUUAAUAAUUAAAUAAUUAAAAUAGGUAAUUCAUUUGUUCAUCUUCUUCUAGCCGAAAUUCUAAGGAAGAAACUUCACCAUUUUUAAGCUUCAACAUUCGACCAACUCUUCCUAGUGCAUGUAAGUACAUUUUUGUUCGAUUUUUAAUGCUUUCUAUGUUUUUGGAGUCGUUGUAGCUUAAUCUAGCUAGCCCAGGGACUAAUUUGUGAAAAUAUUAAAGUGUUAGGGUUUUACCAUUGAUGAAUGUGUAUGUGUUUUGAUGUUUGAUGAUAGAAAAUGAAUGGUUGUUGUUAGAUAAACAAGUUUUGUAAAGUGAUUUUGGUUGAAAAUGUCAAAUAGGAAUUUAUUUAUAAAAUGUGAAAAUUAGGUGGUGAAAUGUGUGAAAUAAUGAAAUGUGUGGGCUGCUAUGAACAUAUAUAGAAUUUGGUUAGCAUGGAUAUGGAUUAAAUUGCAUAAAUUUGCAUUUUUAUGAGCUAAGGACUAAAUUGUAAACAAGUCAAAAGUGUAGGGGCAAAAUGAUAAUUUUUCCAUAACAUGAAAUUGGAUUGAAUUGAAUAGAAUAAAUAUUAAAAUGGUUAAAUUUGAUUAUAUAGAUCAGGAAAAGCCAAGUUCGAAAUUAGAUCGAAGGAAAGAUAAAGUAACGGAUUGAUAAGUCGAUUUUCUCCGUAUUAAUUCGAGGUAAGUUCGUAUGUUAAUAAAUAUUAAAGUAAUUGUGUUUUUAAUUCUUUAUUAUUACAUUCUUGAUGAAUACAACUUCAUGGAAAUAUUCGACGAAGAUUCGGUGACGUAUGAAAUCCCAGUUAAACCUUAGGAAUAGAUAAGAUACAAAUGACAUGUCAUUAGUGGUUAUCGUGUUUUGGGUGCUAGUCCCAUACAUUCUACCAAUGGCUGAGUUUUUCGACAUGUAUUGUAGUUACUCGUCAGCUUGUGUGAGCAACACCGUGUAGCUACGUCUUGACCGUCAGCUUGUGUGAGCAGACCUAAUGAUAGCUCAAGAGUAAGCAUCUAAAUGAGAUAUGAGAUAGAGAUGGUUUUGACCAUGUACUGGCACUUAGUGUGUGAGAUACCCAAGUAUCCGAUAUUGUUCCAAAUGGUUCAAUGGGCACAGUGAUGUUACGAGAGUAUGUGAAUUCAAUAUGAACCAGUACAGGUAUGUACGUGAAUCAUGUGAGAAUUGAAUCUAUGAGAUUUUUGAUUUCAUGCUUAAUUUUGUGGAUGAAUAUGUGUUAGGCUUGUGGAUCAGAUUGAGUUGUAUUAUGCUAUGUUUAAUUACUUAAUAAGCUUAACUACUUACUCCAUUUUAAUUUCCGUGUUUUUAGUGAUUCGGAAGCUCGCUCAUUUUGGAAGUUGUCAGAGAUCACGUCGCACUAUCAAACUCUCAUUUUGGUACUUUGAAUUUUGUAUAUUUUGGGUUAAAUGGCAUGUAUAGGUGUUUUGGCUAAUGUGGCCUAUAUGUCUCAUGUUGUUUUGGUUAUGUGUUUAACCAUGUGAUUUGGCUUAUUUUGGUAUACUUGGUUAUGUAAAUAUGUAUAAAUGAUCUUUUGGUAUGUGGUGUAUAGUUGCUUGGUGAAUGCCUUAAUUGUGUAUUGGUAUUUUGAGUACCAAAUGAUUGAAUUUUAGAUGUGGUAUGCAUGUUGAAUUGGCACAAAGUCUAAUAAGUGAGUUUGACCAUUUAGGUAUACUUUGGAGGCAUAUUUGGUAUGUUGUAAAGUGAUCUUAUAUGUGCUUAUGUAUAUCAUGUUGUACGUGUGGAUAGUACAUGAUAUAGGUUUGAGGUUGGUUGGUUUUAAGUGCCUAUUUAGGCUAUGGUUGUAUAUGCAUUGUUGAGCCUAGGUUGGCAUCACUUUGGGUGAGAGAAAUGGCUUGGAAAAUAGCCUAUUUUUGUCCACAAGGGCAGAGACACCGGCGUGUAUGACACACGGCCAGGUGACACGGCCGUGUGUCCCCUGAUACUUAUUUAGAAACCAAGUCAGUAGCUUCACACGGCCUAGGACACAGGCGUGUGGCUUGGCCGUAUGGCACAAGUUAGUAUACCCUCCAGUUUUCAUACGGCCUAGCACACAGUUUGGCACACGGGCAUGUGUGGCCAUUUCGAAGGGUACACGGCCUAACACAUGGAUGUGUGGUCUAGCCGUGUGAACCAAGUCAGUGAGUUACACAGGGUCAGACAUGGGCUAAGACACAACCAUAUGAUCCCAUUUCGAAUGCCCACACGGCUUGAGACACGGGCAUGCCCCUUGGCCGUGUGAGACACACAACCUGGCCAUAUGGGCAUGUGUCCCCUGCACUUUGAAAAUUUUCCAUGUUUUUCUAAAAAUUUCCUAAGUACUCGGUUUAGUCCUAAACCACUUUUAAUGUCCAUUUUGGGCUUCGAAGGCUCAUAUUAGGGACCAUAUGAAUGAUUAUGAAUGUUUUUUUGUUUUGAAUGACUAUUGUUUAUGAAAUGCUUGGUUUUAUAAGUUAUAAGUUUGGUAAUGCUCCAUAACCUUGUUCUGGCGUUAGAUACGGGUUAGGGGUGUUACAGUGUGCUAAACCAUAUGUACCCUAUACCUGAAAACAUUAAGAAGACCAUGUGUGACACUCUAUCAUGUGACAACCUGUGUCUCAGGCCGUGUGUACCAAAUUUUGCUUAAAAAACAAGAUAAACUUUACACCUAACUUGGCCACCAAGCCAAGCUUAAAAUCAUAUUAAAACCAUGACCAAAAAUACUCUCAAACACGUCAAAACAUACCAAUUACCUACAAUUCAUGUGCCUAACCAAUGUGCCCUCAUUGACACCACAUCUAAAUCAUUAAAUACAAGCCAACAUUUCAUCCAUCCUUUACCUAACCAAUAUGCCAUUCAAAGGCACCUCAAACAAAGACUAAUUAUUUCAUAAUCAUGUUAAAGAGCAUAUGACAUUAACCACUUUCUCAUCCUCAAUUAACAUUCACCAAAAUGACCAAAUAUAACCAAUCUCACCAAGUUUCCAUUUCACAAAGCAUUUACCGAUUCACAUAAACAAUUAUAAACAUCCAACAAAGUCAAGCUUAUCAACGUACUUAUUUCAUUCAUAACUAUAUGCAAACAUUUGAUUCAAGACAUAACACAAUUCUAAAUUUUAUAUGACUUUCAAUAUAAAUAACUUAUACUAGAUUCAACUAUAAACCAGAAGACUAUUACUCAAAAUAUCAUUAUCCUAGGUACAUGCCAUGACGCAAAAAGAAAUAUGUCACCAAGUUAAGUUCGGGAUUUGUUGUGGAUGCUAAGUUGUUGAACAAAAGUAAGUACUUAACCUGCAUUCAAGGAAGGGUUCAAACAUUAAGCAAACUCAUUCCUUCAAAGAAUCACACCUGCACCUAGUGACUUAAAUUUACAUUCCAUAAUGUAUAAGUUUAUCUUCAUGGAAUCUACUAUACUACUCAAUGAUUCAUUUAAUACCUCUUCCAUGAUAUCUUUCACACCAGUCUUUUCCACUGGAUUUGUUGUAUCUUGUCAAUAUGAGUCAUUUAAUGAAUGACACUCGGUGCCUAAUGGUUAAAUGGUAACCAAUUUUUGUGCCUUGCGCUAGUUGGAUAAACCGACAGAUAUAAUGAUGUACCUAGCACUAGUCAGAUAAACUGACAAAAGUUGCGCCUAGUGCUACUCGGAUAACCGAAAAAUAUAAUGGUGUGCCCAACACUAGUUAGAUAAAUGGGCACUAGUCAGAUAAAUUGACUAAAGUUGCGCCCAGCAUUAGUCGAAUAAAUCGACAAAUAUAAUGGUGUGCCUAGCACUAGUCAGAUAAAUUGAGGAAAGUUGCGCCAAGCGCUAGUCGAAUGAAUUGACAAUGGUUUGCGUAUAAAAGUCCUGCACUACCAACACAAGAUCAAAUAAUCUCUAUUCCAUCAUAUCAUAACUAAACUUUUCAAGUUUACCAAUAUUGCUCAUCAUCAACUUAUCCAAUUCAAUAUACAACCCGUAAUUAUACACAUAAAUCAUUUAUCCAUAACCAACUAUUUAAAUCUAUUUACUCAAUCAUUCAAUUAUUCCAAUUCACUCUUCAUCAACAUUCAUAGUCUAUUUCAUAUAGAAUUAUCACAAAUAUAUAUAUUACAAAAGUUUGUAAGUAAUGAAAAUUAAAUAGUCUGAGUCAAAGAGAUACAAACUUACUUAAACAAAACGGCUAUAAUAACGAGGCCGACGUCUACUCUGCCAGCUUCGCCUUUUCAUGGUUCGAGUUCAUUUGAAUUUUCUCUUGAUCAAUUGAACUUCUAUUAGUUAACUUGACUAAACACUUAAAUUAAUCAAACUUAAGCUAAUAAAUUCCUUCAUCACAUAUUUACAAAAUUCCUCAAUUAUUUAUCCCUUUAUGCAAUUUAAUCCUUAAUUUCCAAAGCUUAUAAUUUAUCCACAUUUAGACAAAAAUCUUAAACAAUCGAAUUUCAUAGGACCAUUCUACUGUCCUCAUCUAACAUAAUUUCAUAUCAAUUACCAUGCAAAUUUAUUAUUUCCAGAAUUUGAUCAUUAACAUCAAAAUCAUUAAAACCCAUUUUUUAAACUAAUUAUAUUUAACUAUCUAGCUUUGUAAUCUGCCAUUUAAUUCUAAACUUUUAUGUUGAUUUCACUCUAAGCCUAAUUUAACUCCCUAUUUCUCAUUUUUAUCCUAAAAUUUUAAAAUUUUCACAAUGUAGUCCAUGUUGUACAAAAUCAACCAUUGACUUUACAAGUUAAUCAUUUAUCAAUUCUAAACUUAAAACCCACCAAAAUCACACCUCAAACUCUAAUUUCAACAAUGGUAACAUCAUAAAUAUUUAACAGUAUCAAAAAUUGUAACAUGGUUCAACUAAAUCGAGUUACAGGGAUCCCAAAAAUAUAAAAAUUACAAGAAACGAAAACAAUGGCACUAACCAAAUUGAGCUUCAAAGCUUAAAGCUCAAACGCGAAUGGUAUUUCUUCUUCCUUCCCAAUUUCGUCAUGCAAAGAAUGAAGAUGAUAAGUUUCUUUUUUCUCUUUCUCCCCACUUUGUUAUUUGUUUCAUUUUGUUUUUAUUUUAUUUUAUUCUAAUAUAACUUUUUUUUAACUUAAGUUCUAUAAUAUAAAACACAUAUAUACUAAACCAUGACCGGCCAUCAUUGUAACCAUUUAUAUAGUGGUCUAUUUAUUUAAUAAGCAGUAAUAUCAAUCCAUACUUUUAUCACUUAUGCAAUUUAGUCUUUAUACUUAAAUUAAACGUUAAUUUAAUGAAAUUACUUAAUUGAAAUUUAAUUCAUUCCUAAUAUAACUCUGUAAAUAUUUAUAAAAAUAUUUAUAAGUCCAGUUUACGAAAACGAGAUCUCGAUAUCUCAAUUUUUAAAAUUAUUAACUUUAAAACCAAUACAUUUACACAUUAUCUAACUUUCCAAUUAACUAAAAUUAUUAGACCAAACUUCAGUUUAAUAAUGUAAUACCCUUGUAAAUAUUAAUAAAUAAUUUUUUUAUUAACUCUAUUAUCGAAAAAUAAAGUUCUAAAACUACCAUUUCCUACAUUAUUAACUUUUGGGUGAACAGCUUUCUAUUGUUUCCUUAGCUACGGUCGGCCAAAUGAAGGGAAAGUGGGCGUUUGUUCUCCCUUUCCAAUAUUUUUGACAUUUAAAAUAACAAAAAUUUGUUGACAAAGUCAACUACUUUUUAAAUGUAUGGCCAAAAUUCAUUUUCAAAAUCAAAUUUAUCUUUAAUGGUUAGAAUUUCAUCUCAUCAUUAAUAUUCUAGCAUAAGUAUAUGCAAAAUGUUCUAAUAACAAAAUAUACUUUAAAUAACUAUGAACAAAUUUUUAAGAAAAGUAUCAUAUGGUAAAUCGAAAAAAUUGAGGCAUUACAAUCUAUGACCGUAUUGUUUAAGUCUUUUGUGGGUUUUUUUCUUUGAUCAGUUGUGGGUUAGAUUUUAUAUUGUUUUUUAAUAUAUUUUAAGUAAUAUAAUUUUAUUGUUUUCUUUAUAAAAUAAAAUUUUAAAUUUACGUAGACACUGCCAACAAAUUAAUUUCACAACUUUAAAGAUAUAAUAAACUUUCUUGAUCAACAGACCGAGGUUAAUUUUAAUUUUAUCGUUACAAAUUUAUGUCAACAUUUUAUGCUAUAUUUAUUAUUAAUUAAAUAAAUUUAAAAUAUCAAAGAAAGCAUUUGUAUUAAUUAUUCUAUUUCAAACAAUAUAUUUAAAAAAUUGAUUCACACAUUACUUGAUUCGUUUGAAAUAUUUUUAUUUUUAUUUUGUUAAAUGAUAAAUUUAAAUAAUUUGUUUGUUGUUAUUCGUGGUUGAAGGUUACGUUUAUUUAUUAAUUAAGGAGGUGUUUGAUAAGUUAUUAAAAAAUAUUUUAAUUAAAAUAAAUAUUUAAUAUUUAAUAUUUUAAAUGUGUUUGAUAAAUAUUUUUAAUUUUUUUACAUAAUAUAAAAUUUUCAACUAAAAAAAGCGUUGAAUAAGUAGCUAUUUAUCCUAGAAAAUAUUAAGUUGAUUUUAUUUUAUUAAAAUAUAAAUAAAUUAUUCUUUUUUAAAAAAUGAGAUAUUUAAAUUACCGUAAUUAUCUUUUAUCUAAAACUAUCUAAAAUAAUAUAAAAUAUUAUAUUAAUAAGAUUAAAAUAAAUAAUAAAUAAUCUUUUUAAAUCAAUAUUAAUUUUUAUCAAAUAACAUAAUUGUAUUCAAUACUUAUAUUUACUAAUUUACCAAACAAAUUUAUAAUAUAAAUUCAACGGGUUUUUUACUAAUAUAUUAUUAAAAAAACACUUAAAUGGUACAAAGGAAAAAUUAUUGACGGAAAUGGUAUGUCUAGGGUGGUCACGCCACUGUCAAAGGCGGCACCACCCUGGAAUCUGACAUCUACAGUAAAAAAAGCAGUAAAACCUGAAAAAAAUAUAAAAAUACUAGUGUAGCCUAUAUCAGAGGCAGCACUGGUGAAGCCUCUGUUAGAGGCGGCACUGGUGAAGCCUCUGUUAGAGGCGGCACCAGUUGUUGAAAUGGCACAGGCGGCACACCCCCAAACCUCUAUUUAAACCCUCAGUGUUAAAACGAAGCCACAGCAACAGUAAAAAAAAAUUGCAGAAGAAGAGAGGGAGAAGAGAAGAAAGAAAGAAAAAAAGAAAGAAGGAAAAAAUUUUUCCAGUAAAAAAAACAGAUUAUAGACGAAGGGAGGGAGAAGAGAAGAGAAGAAAUAAAAGGUAUUUUCUUUUUUUGUUAUUUUUAAAUAGAAUAGAUUAUGAUAAGAAAAAAUAUUUUGUUAGUAUUAUAUAGUUUGUUUAGUGUUAUUUUUAUGUUUUGUUUUAAAAGUUAUUUUGUUUCUUUUGAUUUUUUUGGUAAGUUUUGUAUUUAGAUUAAUUAUGUGUUUAUUGUGAAUGUUAUGUUUUGUUUUAAUAUAUUUGAAAGUUUUUAUGUUAGUAAAACUAUUAUAAAGUAAUUGUUAAUUAGUGAUAACAACUGAAAAUAUUUUUGUUAUAUAUAUUGUUAGAAAUAUCAACAUAUUUGGUAUUACCUGAUGAGAUAAUAACUUUAGCACAAAGGGAGAAAGUUGAUAAGAUGAUGAGAGAAGUACAAGAUUACAAAAUGAAACCAGAAGAAGACAUUGUUCAACACCUUAUUACCGUAAAUCAAAAGAUGCAAAAAGUGUUGUGGAAGAGUCAUGAAAUGAUUAGAAAUAAUAAAGUGCAAUACUUAACCCUUAGAGGGACAUUAAUAGAAUGAGAGCAUCAAAUCAUUUUAGACGAACUUUGGAAGACAUCGGUACCACGAACCUAUUGGAAUCUAGUUAUAAACUUCACGAAGUUUAUAAUCUCUUAUGGAGCAAGGAAAAUAGCGAGACAAAGUAUAGGUUCACGAAAGUUGACUGGGAAGCAAAAUGUGUUUGACAAACCAUGGAUGGAUAAAUUAGUUGUUAGGAAAUUACCAAGAGAACUUGUAUAUUCAAUACCCGUUAUAAAGAUUGAAGAGCCAGAAGUUCCCGAGGAAUUUCCAAAUGGGAUUGUAGAAGAUGAAUAUGAAGAGAAUCAAGAAUUUCUAAAUUGGAUUGUAGAGAAUUUUCCAGAUGAAGAUACAGGAUCGAAGAUGGAAGAAAACGUAGAACUAAAUUUAAGUGGUUAAAUGUAAAGAUAAAUGUUGUUCAUGUACAAAAUGGGAACUGAAAAAGUUUGAGCUUAUGAAUGAAAAAAAUUGCAUAUUGACUAAUUAAUUUUUAUUUAAGUAAUUUAUUUGUUGUUCGAAAUUGUUUUGAGAAAUUUUAUUUAUUUUUUAUCAGAUUGAGUAUUGAAUAUGGAUAAUCAGUUUUUCAUAUAUGUUUAUUUCGAUGAAUCAUCUUAACAACAACGGCUGGAUGCAUAUUUGAAUGUCGGCAACAAAUAGCAAUGAGAUUUAAUAGAAAUGUCUUGUUGGAUGAUAUGAAGGGAAGGAUUAACGCAAAAAUAGUUAGACGUUAUGGGAGAAGGAUCUCGAAACUUUUCUACAAGUUUCUAAUUUAGACAGAUCCCAUCAAAUUCACCGAAAUGGAACUUGUAGACGAUGAAGACGUGCAGACAAUGAUUGCUCUUUACUGUGGGAAUAGGAGUGACAAAAAUGCACCGAUUCACUUAUUUGCUGAGUUAGCCAGUAUGGAGAAAAAUAAAGAUUUCAAUACAUAUGAUGAAGAACAUGAAGCUCAAGAACCGUACAUGAUGGCUCCAAUAUCGUACGUCGAUAGUGAAUCGACCAUACAUGGGAUCAAUAUCGAUCUUAAUGUUACGUCCGAUAUUGAUGUGGUUGGUGAUGAUGGAUACAAUAGUAGUAAUCCUUGUGAUCAAGAGGUCUAUAGUGAUAGUGAUCCCGAUGUGGAUGAUGUCCCCGAUGAUAUUGACGAUGAAGACGUGAAUGACGAUGGAAACAUUAACGCGUCUUCGGUCGGGAACCAGAUACGACAUAUUGUGAUACACAAUAACCCUGGGCCACAUAUGUCGCUCACAGACCCUGACGUAGUGCAUGCAGCUGAGUUCUCGGAGGAAAUACUUCCUACUCACCGACUGGCCGUAAAUUCCGAUCCUGAUGAGUUGUUCGUAAGCUAGAGAUUCGAAAGUAAAGAAGAGUGCGUAUUUUCUAUUAAGCGGUAUAGCAUGUACAUAUCAGUGAAUUACAAAGUUACAGUGUCUAAACUGACAUUAUAUAUUGAGGAAUGUUAGAAGUCAGCAGAAGGCUGCAAUUGGUGGGUACGAGUUACAUUUAUUAAAAAUCGCAAAUAUGGGAGAUACACAAAUUUGUUGGGCCUCAUAUAUGCACAUCAACACGUAUGACAGAAUAUCAUCAAAAAAUUGAUUCCAAAACUAUCUGUACGUGUAUCAUGCCAAUGGUGAAGGACAUGCCGACCAUUAAAGUUUCAGUACUGAUAGCCGAAAUGCAGACACGAUUUCAGUAUCGAAUAUCAUAUCGAAAGGCUUGGAUAGCUAAACAGAUGGCAAUAAAGCAAUUGUAUGGGGAUUUCGAUGCGUCGUAUAACAAGCUACAGGGAUGGAUAGCUGCUAUGCGAGAGUACGUACCGGGGACUGUCAUUGAGUUAUAGACACGACCUUAUUAUGGCCCGGAUGACCAACUACAGUCAGGAAAAAUAAUUUUCCAUUGGACGUUCUGUACGUUUGAUCCAUGUGUGCCCGCAUUUCCCCACUGCAAGCCGUUUGUGUAAGUGGAUGGGACCUUGCUAUAUGGAAAAUAUACAUAGAUCUUACUUCUUACGGUUGCUCAAGAUGGAAACAGGAACAUGCUCCCGAUAGCAUUUGCCAUCGUAGAUAAGGAGAAAAUGGAAUCGUGAGAAUUCUUCCUUACCAACCUGCGGAGGUAUGUUAUUAGCAACGAUAAUAUCUGCAUCAUCUCUGAUAGAGGAAAAGGAUUAAUUGUUGCCAUUAGGCGUUCCAGUGUACCAUAGAGAUCCGUUUACUAUAUCCAACAUAUCGCGGCUAACUUCCAUAGAGAUUAUAAGAAUAUAGACUGGAAGAGACAAGUUGUGGAAAUGGAUAAAUGAUUACCUUAUCUUUUCAAUAUAAGUUAAUAUUUUAGGGCAAUACUGUAACUUAUCUUUUCUUAAUACAUAUACAGCGUACGAGCUAGAGCCACACAUUUUCGGCCAAAGAAUGACUCGACUUGAGAGUGACAUGGAGGGUCAAACGAAUAUAUCCUUCCGAUAGUGGUUGGGUACUAUGGAGCCAUGGCAAUGGGCUCAAAGUUUUGACGAGGGCUUUCGUUAUGGUCAGAUGACCACAAACUUAGUAGAGGGGGUCAACGCUAUUGUGACAGCCCUAAAUUGACCCUAGUCGGAAAGUGGUUUCGGGACCACUAAACCGAGUCAUAAAAAUAAUUAGCCGUCAUAGUUGAUGCUCAUUAUAUGUACAUAUGCAUGUGUGAAAAUUUCAUGUUUGAAUUUUGUUAAUUGUAAGUGAAUUUUAUCAAAUAGGACUUAUGUGAGAAAAUUUAGAAAUGUGCUAGGCAAAUGUAAAGUGGCCUAUUAAUGCAUGUUGUGAAAAUGAUGGGUUUGCAUGUCAAAUUUCCCAAAAUUAAAGCAUAGUGGCCGGCCAUGCUAUGGGUGGAAACAUGUUGUAAACAUGUUGUGUUAGUGUGUUAUGUUAGAAAGAAUAAAAAAAAAGGGUUAGGAUUAAAGUAAUGCAAAGGGAGGAGCGAUGAAAAAAAAAAUUGUCUCAUCCAUGCCCCCCCCCAAUUGCCGUGAAUUGAAGAAAGAAAACAAGUUGUGUUCUUUGGUUCUCCUUGGCCGAAAGGAAAAAGGGAAGAAGGGAGUGAAGCAUUCGGUUAUCCUAGGUCACUAUUAAGGUAAGGAAGUUGUACUAGUUCUUGAAAUUUUAGUUGAUAUUGAGUGAGAUAUCAAGUGAUUUUUGUAAACCAUGUUGAAAUUUUGAUUUUGGGGUGAGUAAGGUUUUUGGCUAUGAAAAUUAAUAAGGGUGAUGAUUGUUGUUUUAUACUAAACCUAGAUGAACAAUGGUAGUUUGCUUACAUCUUGAUAUCUAUGAGUUCCUUUCUUGGUUCUACCUUAGACCCACGAAGUAUAUGUUUAUUGGGUGUUGUUGGAGAUUUAUGAUAGAAGCUAAUGAGUGAGAGUUUGAUAGAUACUAUGAGGUUAAACUUCAUGGGAUUAUAAGCUUGUAAGUUGGAUGAUGAAAUUCAUGCUUUGUGAAGGUAAAUAAUGUAGAAGGAGCAUUCGGCCAUGAUGAAAAAAUUAUGAUGAAGUGAUGUUGAAUGCCUUGAAUAUUGAGUAUAUAUUGUUAUAAGUUGAAUUUAAGGUUUGUGAAAUUGUCUUUGUCAUUGCCGAAUGUGGGUAUAGUUAAGGAGAAUUUGUUAAAGUGCUUGGUUCAUUGAUAUUAGGUUAAUGAUAUGUGUAUUCGGUCAUAAAGGUGCACAUGAGGAAUAUUAGAUUAAUUGUAUCAAAUUGCUUAAUGUGAUAAAAAAAAUGUGUAUGACCAUUUUGUAUUUGAGCUAAAGGUGGCCAUAUGACCUAUCAAAUUUCCAUGUCAUAUUCGGCUAUAAGCUAGCAUAAUGAGACUUUAAUGAGUUAAAUUUGUUUGAAUUAGCUCAAGAGCUUAGAGGACCAAAGUUGGAUAAGGGAAAGGAAAAAGUGGUCAAAUAGCCAUCGAAAUCGUCCGACAACAUCUGAGGUAAGUUUUUGAGUAACGAGACUUAGUUUACGAUUUGAUUAAGUCAUGACGUAUGAGCAUAAUAAAUAUACGGUGAUAUGAUGAUUCUACUUGAAUUAUAUGUUGAGUUAAUUAGUCUAUAUGUAUUACAGGUAGCCGUAUGUGCAUGGAGAUCGUGUCAUAAAGCAAACUAAACCAUGCUGUUUGUAUAUGGCUAGUGAGCCGAAAAUGGGAUUGCUUAAUACGUGACUUGUGUUUGAACUCUAAUUAUGAAAAUGAAAUAUAGAUGUGUCAUGAUUUAUUGAUAUGUGCAUGAAUAUUUGGAUGAUAACCGGGCUAAGUCCCGAAGGCAUUUGUGCGAGUUACUAUAAUCGGGCUAAGUCCCGAAGGCAUUUGUGCGAGUUACUAUAUCCGGGCUAAGUCCCGAAGGCAUUUGUGCGAGUUACUAUAUCCGGGCUAAGUCCCGAAGGCAUUGGUGCGAGUUACUAUAUCCGGGCUAUGUCCCGAAGGCAUUCGAGCGAGUAGCUAUAUCCGGUUAAAUCCCGAAGGUACUUGGCUUGGGAAUGAGCGACCUUGCUGUAAUAGUCUCAAUUAAUACGCUCGUAAAAUCCCAACGAUGAGGUAUGUUUCGUAUAUGCAUUGAAUUAGUUGAUCCCUUACAAAUAGUAUUCGCUCAGUCGAUAAAUGAGCUACCGGCCUUUGGCUAAGUUGAUCUUUUGUGUAUGAAUAUAAGGUUUGGUAAUGUGAAGUAAGUAUGAUAUUGAGAAUUUGUGCAUAUGAAAUUAUCCGUUUAGCCACAUGAAUGCUACACUUUAGUUGUGUCAAAUUUUAUGGCUCAAAACUUACUAAGCAUUAAAUGCUUACUCCGUUUCUUUGAAUCUCUGUUUUAUAGAUUUUGGUUCGUCAACUAUCGGACUCGGGAGUGUCGAAGUCGAAGUCGCCCACACUAUCAAAGCCCUUUGGUACACUUUUGGUUGAACUUUGAAAUGGCAUGUAUAGGACUACCCUUUUUGAUGUUGGUCAUGUACCUUUCGGUAUUGUACAAAUUUGGAUAGCCAUGCGAAAAUGACUUAUAUAUAUUUUGAGCAUAAUGUUAUAAUCAUCUUGUAUGUAUAUGUUCAUUAAGAGGCAUGGAAAUGUUUGGAAACGAUUAGCCAUUGGAAUGGCUAAUCAUGAUCAUAUUUUGUGCUAUAUAUGCUAAAGGGCUAGUUGAAUCAUGGAAACUAUGAAAUAGGUAAAGUCUACCUUAAAGGCAGAUGCUGACAGUAGCAGUGUUGUAAAUUUGAAAAAUCACUAAAAAUAGUAGGAAUAUAAUUAAAUAGUGAAUAAAUUAUGUAAUCUAACCUUGAUGAAUCUAAUUUCAUAUGGAAGAAACGAAACGAUCAUAUGAGUUGUAUGUUAAGAGAUAUUUAGGUUUUCGCGAAACAGGGUCAGAACGGUUUCUGGAUUCCCUAUUCCGACUUUGGAAAUUCAUUAUAAAUUAACAAGAGAUAAUUAGAAGUAAUUCUAUAUAUGUAUAGAUUCCUUUUCGAAUCUAGUUUCUAUAGAAACAAAUGGCAUCAGUAUUGAAGCCCUGUACAGGGAGAUAUCCAAGUCGUAACACAUGAAGGUCAGUGUAGUCGAACCCUGAAACAGGGGAGACUUCAACUAAUAAACUGUACUAAUUGGAUUGACCAAAAAUUCUAUAAAAAAUUUUGUAGAAGGACAUAGGAGUCUAGUUUCAUUAAAAAUUUACGGAACUGGUUUUCGAGUUUUGGAACUUGAGAUAUGAUUUUUAAGGUGACAGUGACGCAGUUAGCCAGCUCGUCUGGAAAUUUAAAAUAGUCUGUGCAAAUAAGUGAAUUAAGUCUGUUAACCCCUCGUGUCCGACUCCGGCAACAGUCUCGGGUACGGGGUGUUACAGCUAUGUUGUUGAAAACACGACAUCUUCCGAUUUCAUCUGUCUUCUUGGCUACAUUCUAUAGGUUGGCUACCUUGAUGCCAAGAAUGGGUGAGCACCAAGUCAACUAGAUAGAGGUGGGACACGUGUUUGUAAAAGAUGUCAGGGAUGCAAUGGUUGCAAACCAUCGGAUGGCGAGGUCAAUGAAUGUAGAAAUAUAUUCAUGAAGCCUUGAAACUUUUCAUGUUACAGAGACCAUUGGUCGUCGACCCGGUAUACCACCUAGGUCCUAUGGAGUUGAUCUCUAGAACAAACAAUGCGAUUGUAGGAGGUUCCAAACACUUCAUUAUCCAUGUGCGGAUGUCGUGGUAGCGUGUGCUAAAGUGAACCUUAAUGUUGAACAAUUUGUCGAUGAUGUGUACACACUCGAGCGCAUGAUACGUGUUUGGGAAAAUGAGUUCCCCGUCCUGCCUGACCUGUCCAUGUGGGAGGUGCCUCUGACUACUUUCGAGCUUGUCCCAGACAGAGGGCUACGUUAGAAUUUGAGAGGUUAUCCGCAAUCAUCCAGAAUCCGUAAUGAAAUAGACAUUAGGGAGAAAUCCGACGAUAAGCGUUAUGGAUUAUGCAGGUUAGCUGGUCAUAAUCAGAGUAAAUGCCCGCAGCGAAACUAUCAUGUUGGACAAUCGUCACGAUCGGGUAGGAAUUGAUCUUAUGUUGUAAUGUAUUUAAUUUAUAUAAAAAAAUUAUAUUGCAAAGUUUGUUCCAAUUAGAUUAAUGUUGUAAUGUAUUUAAUUUAUAUUACAAGACUAAGUUUGUUACAAGUUUUAGUGUUUUAAUGUUCAAAAUGUCCAAAUUAAUCUAAUUUACGUUAUGGUCAAAUUUUGUUCCACUUUUCAAAGUUCCAAUUAAUCUAAUUAAAUAUAUACAAAAAAAUACAAAUUUUUUAAUAUCAAAACCCAAUAAACCCCUAAAAUUGAUGGUUCGAUGGUGUGGUCCUAGGGGUAUAUUUCUGUGGAGGUCGAUGUUUACGUUGUGCAUGAUUGCGACGACCAACAUCCUCUUCAAUCACAGGUGAGGGUGUCUAAUACAUAGAAUAAAAAUCAUAUGGCUCGAAUGGCAUCGAUGAACUUGAGCCGGGAGGAGUGCCAUGCUGCGGUGGAUACAACCCAAGAGGAGUAGAGUACUGCUGUGGAUACGGGCCAGGGGUAGUGCUAUACUGCGGUGGAUAUGGGCAGGAAGAUGUGCUGUGCUGCGGUGGAUACGACCCAAAGAUAUCAAACCCGUAAUAGUAUCUGCCCCUUGACGAGCCCGGGAAAUAGUCAUUUCCCGACAAAUCGUGAUGAUAAGAAGUAUCAGUCGAAUGUGAAUGCGAUCGCUCAGACUCGGCCUCAGGCUGUGUCUCGAACUCCGACUCUGGGUCAAGCUCGGGAUCUGGCUAUGGAUCGGGCUUUAUAUUGGCCACUGGCUCAUAUGCCGUAGGUUACUGCACAUGCGAGGGGGCUAUAGUCGACUACCCACCAAGUAAAUAUGGUUUUCCCAUACUAGAGUACCAUUGUAUGUACUUUAAUGAUGGUAGCAAAUCAGAAGACAUAUCCAUCUGAGGUCUUCGACCCAUCCAAUUAUCCCCCACCGUAACAUAUCUCCGGCGCACAACCUCCCAAUGCAUUCUAUGUUUCCAUCUCUUGUUGAUGCCGUGAACCUUCCCACCUGCAUUGGUGGAUCCGAGAUAUACUGGAUGCAACCAAACUGUCAUAGUACUCGAUCCCUGUGGUACCACUCGACUACAUUAAAACUGAUAAUUGGAGCGUUAGUGCACCACAAUUGAUAAUGAACGUAGGCAGACGAGGGUAUAAUAGUUGAAAUUUCUGGUCUACGAUAUGACAUCCAUAUAAACUGUACGAUUAAUACCAUGGUUAAAAUUUAACAUGGUUCGAGUAAGAUAUACAAAGUAAUUACAUGUCAUGAAUUUUUGAAUAGCUUACCCCUUCCAUAGCAUGUUGUUCAAUCAUCAGACGAUAUAUCGGGACAGUGUACGACCUCCCAAUACCCGGAUAAAUACUCCAUCUAUGAAAACAAUUUUCAAGUAAAUAUAGUAUCGUUAGAAUAGUAUCAUUAUAAAGAAAUUGUCAAUUAAUAACAAGUUAAAUUUUAUCACUUGUUAACUAGUGGAAAUAUGUAUGGUUGGUGACUAACCGAUAUCAAGAAUAACAUUCGAUAAAGAGCCCAUGACUGCAACAAUACAAGGCAUCUGCCUAUGUCUACAGCAUCAAGCUUUAUCGUCCGACAAAGCUCACGACACAACAUAGCCAGAACUGCGGAACCCCAACUAUACGAACGAACAUUACGCAAAUCAGCUAAUAGAGGUAAAUUCUGGAGAUGAACCCUGUUGUUGUUCGCAUUGGGCAUCAGUACACCUCCUAUAAUAUGCAUAAUGUAUGCUCGAGCUGCGCACAUCAACUCUUCUUCAGUGGCAUUAACUAAUAGAUGCUCAAAAUUGGCUUUUAGCCAUGUAAAUUUCAACUCCCAAAAAUUGGACUCAUCAUCGCAAAGGCGAAGCCCCUAGUAGGCUAUAACAAAGUGUAGCCAGCUCAGCUAUCGCACUUACGUCCGUUACAACAUUCUCGUCAAUUGGGAGCCCAAAGUACAAUGCAGCAUCCUCCAGAGUGACAGUGCACUCCCCACACGACAAAUGAAAAGUGUGGGUCUCCGGGCACCAACGCUAGACCAAUACGGAUAUUAAAUCGUACCGCAAAUCGAACAUUCGGAUCAAUGCUGCUAACCCGAAUCCAGCUAGCUCCAAGUAGGGCAUCAGUCAUGCAUUCGGGGAAUAUCCUAAGCCAUUCACCUGGCCUCUUAAUAUGCGGUACGAGCCCUAACAGUGUUAAAUUACAGAAAAUAGUUAUAAUAACAUAGUUUAUUUCCUUAAAUUACGUAAAUCUUUUUUAAAUGGAACCUUUGAUUAACAAAUAACAAUAUUUUACCAUAUUAUUAAUUGUAUCACAUAUGUGAGGAUCUUUCCUAAUCAAUGAAGCCAUUAUAAUGCCUGCAAUUUCAAAAUAAAUUUCGGUUAUUAAUUUUAAUGUUUGAUGGAUUUUAAAUAUUUAUUAGAAUAACUAAAUUUUAUAUAUUACUUUUAAUUACAAAAAAAAUACCAAACAGUUUUUUCGACAACAUAUUUUUUGCUAUACUACAUUAAAAUAAUAAAUAUAUCCAACUCAAAUACAAAUAUUAUUAUUAUUAUUUUAAAAUGAUAAUAAAUAAAAUAUUCUGGUUUAAAAUAUAAUAUAUAUAAUACACCCGACAUGUAGUUAAUAUAUUUUAAAUUAAUUUUUAUUUAAUAAUAAUUUCAGCGAUGCAAUAAUAAUUAAAAAACAAACACAUGAUAAGUUAUUCAAUAUUAUUUUAAAAUAUACUAUAAUAUGUAAUUAAUUAAAUUUAUUGGGAAAUAAAAAAUAUGGGAAAACAAGAAGGGGCUAUGUUGCAAUAUUCUUAAUUUUUAUUUAUUUAGUGAUUUUGGCCCUUUGUUUGUAUUUUUAAAAUUUUCGGAUUUUAUUUUUAAAAUAUAUUAUUUUCGUAUUUUACUUUUUAUAUUAUUUUAGUACAUAAUGUUUCAAAUAUAUUAUUUUAGUGUUUUUUAUAUUAAUUUAGUAAGUAACCCUAAUUUUGACCUUUUGUUUGUAUUUUUAAAAUUUUUGGAUUUUAUUUUUUAAAAUAUACUAUUUUCGUAUUUUAUUUUUUAUAUUAUUUUAGUACAUAAUGUUUCAAAUGUAUUAUUUUAGUGUUUUUUAAUAUUAAUUUAUUAAAUAACCCUUAUUUUGGCCCUUUGUUUGUAUUUUUAAAAUUUUUGAAUUUUAUUUUUUAAAAUAUACUAUUUUCGUAUUUUAUUUUUUAUAUUAUUUUAGUACAUAAUGUUUCAAAUGUAUUAUUUUAAUAUUUUUUAAUAUUAAUUUAGUAAAUAACCCUGAUUUUGGCCCUUUGUUUGUAUUUUUAAAAUUUAAAAUUUUUAUUUUUUAAAAUAUACUAUUUUAAUAUUUUAUCUUUUAUAUUAUUUUAGUACAUAAUGUUUUAAAUGUAUUAUUUUAGUAUUUUUUUAUAUUAAAUUAGUAAAUAACCCUGAUUUGGCAAUUUGUUUGUAUUUUUAAAAUUUCCGGAUUUUUUUUUUUAAAAUAUACUAUUUUCAGAUUUUAUUUUUAUAUUAUUUUAGUACAUAAUGUUUUAAAUGUAUUAUUUUAGUUUUUUUUAUAUUAAUUUAGUAAAUAACCCUGAUUUUGGCCCUUUGUUUGUAUUUUUAAAAUUUUCGGAUUUUAUUUUUUAAAAUAUACUAUUUUCGUAUUUUAUUUUUUAUAUUAUUUUAGUACAUAAUGUUUCAAAUGUAUUAUUUUAAUUUUUUAAUAUUAAUUUAGUAAAUAACCCUUAUUUUGGCCCUUUGUUUGUAUUUUUAAAAUUUUCGAAUUCUAUUUUUUAAAAUAUUCUAUUUUUGUAUUUUAUCUUUUAUAUUAUUUUAGUACAUAAUGUUUUAAAUGUAUUAUUUUACUGUUUUUUAUAUUAAAUUAGUAAAUAACCCUAAUUUGGCCCUUUGUUUGUAUUUUUAAAAUUUUUGAUUUUUUUUAAAAUAUACUAUUUUCGUAUUUUAUUUUUUAUAUUAUUUUAGUACAUAAUGUUUUAAAUGUAUUAUUUCAGUAUUUUUUUAUAUUAAUUUAGUAAGUAACUCUGAUUUUGGCCAUUUGUUUGUAUUUUUAAAAUUUUCGGAUUUUAUUUUUUAAAAUAUACUAUUUUCGUAUUUUAUUUUUAUAUUAUUUUAGUAAAAAACCAGCCAACACCACUUUCUCAAAAAAAAUAUUUUUUUCAUAUUUUAUUUCUUUUCGUAUUUUAUUUUUUCAUUAAGAUAUUUUUUAGUAUUUUAUUUUUUAUACUAUUUCUGUAAAAUAGUAUAAAAACCCCAUCAAAUAAAAAGUAAAAAAAUUAAAAUAAUCAGAAUAUAACAUGCCAAAUAAAUUUUAUAAAAAAUAUAUCUAAUAAACCUAAAACACACUUAACAAAUAAAUUACAUAAAAUAAUAAUAAUAAAAAGUUCUUUGCACAUAAUAGGUUUUUUUACUUCAAUAAAAAUUAGAAAUAAAUUAGAAAUUAAUGAAAAUAUAAAAUAAAUACAAACAUACCUUAAUAUUUCUUUUUAACCAAAUAACACAUUGUAAAAAAAUAAAUUUAAAAAUUAAAUCUGAAUUAAAUCAAAAUCAAUCAACAACAAUAUUAACACCUAAAAUAAAUAAAUCAUUUACUUAAAAAAAUUACCCUUUUUUUCUUUCUUUUCCCUUCUCUCCUUCUCCCUCUUCUUCUCCUUCUCUUUUUCUUUUUCUUUUUUCUUCCCUCACUAAUGCCGCCUCCUCCUCCUCCUUCUUCUUCUUCUCUUCUUCCUUUUCUUCUUCUCCUUCAUUCUUCCCGAAAUGAAGUUGGAGACCAUAAUAUAUGGUCCCAAACACAGAAAAAAAAAGGGCUCUGCAUGAGGGGUCUAAUCCCCGGUGCCGCCACUGCUAAUGGCACCAUCAGUGCUGCCUGUGGCAGACCCACCACCAGUGCUGCCUGCGGCAUGGCCUUUGCCUGUGCUGCUUCUUUUUGCUGCUUCAGCUUUUUUUUCAGUUUUUUCAGCUUUUACUGCUUUUUUUUGCUGUUGAUGUCAGAUUCUAGGGUGGUGCUCCUCUAGCAGUGGCAUGACCAUCCUGAACAUACCAUUUCCGUCAAUAAUUUUAACUUUGUACCAUUUAAGUGUUUUUUUUAUAUAAUAUAUUAGUAAAAACCCCAAAUUCAACACUUAAAAGUUUUAGCAAAAAAAACUAAACACUUAAUUUUUCAGUACUUAAAUUUUUAGUUUAUCAAACACACCCUAAAUAAAUAAAAAGUUUAAAAAUAAUUUUAUUAACUAUUUCAUUUUGAAUUUAAAUGAUAUAUUUUAAAAGAUAGAUCAGUCGUUGAUAUAUACACUAAUUUAGGGUUAAAAUAUUUGAGAGGUCCUUGUAUUAUAGAAAUUGAAUCAAAUUAGUCCCUAUUAAAAAGAAUCAAAUAAGUUUAAAUUGUAAAAGAGUUAAUAUUUAUUGUAAAAAAAUGACUAGAAAUUAUUAUUAUUUAAUUACAGUUCAAUUCCUAACAAAAAUUAUUAUUUAUAUAAUCAUAAAAACUUUAAAAAUAUUAGUUCUAUUAAACAAUAAAAAUUAACUUUAUCCCGAUUUAAUUUAAUUUGAUUCUUUUCAAUAAUAUAAAAAUUGAUUUGAUCCAUAUAAUAAUACAGAGAUUAUCGAUCUAAUCUAAAAUAUAUAUUUUUUUUUUUACUAAAUGAUGAAUUUGAAGAAUGUGUGUUUAACGGCAGCUCUAAUAUCCAACUUGCGCGGAAAAAUAAGUUAUUUUAUUUUUCUUAUUUUAAUUUAAGUAACAUAUUUGUAGUGAUUAAUUUGAAUAGUGAAGAGUUAACUUAUUUAAAAAAUGUAUAAUUUUUAUAAAAUGUAUUAAUAUUAUUAGGUUUCAAAACAAAUUUUUGUAAAUAAAUAAUUAUUAAAGUUUAUUAAAAAAAUCCGAAUAUAUUGAAACACGGUAAAUGGUUUUCAUUUUGACACGUGGCUUAGUAUAUUUAUUUACUUCUUUUCAAUGUUUGACUGGAAAAUGAAGAGAAAGGGGAUUGGGGCAUUAAAAAAGUAUUAUUAUGAAUGUAUAAAUAUACACUGAAAUUUUCAUACAUGGUCAACUUUUUAAAAGAAUACAUAUAAAAUUAUCCUCCGUAGUAUGAUAUAUUAAUAUAAUAUCAUGAUUUAAUUUUUAAAAAUAUUUUUUUGUGUUAUAUAAUUAUGUUGUGCCUUUAUUAUGAUGAUUUAAUUUUAAAUGUUGUGCAUAUUUUUUUUUAAAAUGAUUUAAAUAAUUAAAGUUUGUUUAUAGUUUACUCAUAAGUCAAUUUAGUACUAUAUCCAAUUCAAUCCUAAUUCUUUUAAUUUCAUUAUUUAAAUCGUGCAUCUACCAUGAAUAUCAUCUUAAUUUAAAAUAUAUUUAUAUUCAUAAACAUCCAUCAUAAUUUUGUAUAUUAAUGCUAAUAUUAUUAGCAUUUAGACGUAGAAAUUAAAUAAAUUGUUAUUCAAAAAACUUUUAAUUUAAAAUUACAAUUUACUAUUAGUUUAUAAAAAUGUAUAUAUAUUAAAAUAAAAUAUAAAACUGAACAAAGUUUUUAGAACUAAAUCAAUUAUUGAAUCAAUCAUGCUAACAGUUUGACUAGUUUAUUUGGUUUGAUUUAAUAAAUCAUUAAAGAUUCAUAAAUAAAAAAAUCUUAAGGCUUAGAGGCGUAAGAAGCCCUAAAAAGUUUUCAAAACAAACAAUUAAACCCCCCUUUUUUUUACACUCAAUUAAGUAUUUAAACUUUAAAAUGUAUCAAAAAGUUCUUCAAAUUUUUUCAAAAAAAAUAAUUAAGCCCCUUUUUUUUUGCUCUUAAUUACUACCAAAAUGUAUCAAAAAUGUCAUUUAACCGUUAACUUUAAUAGUUGAAUAAUUAAAGUUAACUACCCUUAAUUUUUUUUAGUUAAAGCCACCAUAUGUCACAACCUAAAAAUUAUUAAAUUUUAAUAAAAAUGUAAACAGACCAAUUUGCCCGGCCCAUUGGAAACCCAAAAUAAAGUAUAAAAUAAAUAAAUAAAUAAAUAACCCAAAGUCCAUUUAAUGUCCUUUUACAAACUAAUACCUAUUACAAGCCCAAACUAAUAUUAAACCCAAAUCAGAGCAAGCCCAAUAGGCCCAUUUCCCCAACAGUUUCAGAAACCCUAGGUCACCCCCCUUUUCUCCUGUGCCGCAACAGCAGCCUCCAUGUGCCUUCAGCCCCGUACGACUGCUACGCACGCCUCCGUACGCCUCACGCCAAGCGCCAGCACGACCCCCGUACACGCGCCUUGCACCGGUACCUGCAAAAAAAAAAACAAGAGACAACAGCAUAUACCCAAUGCGAAAGCAAAGAAAGAAUUUUGUAUUAUUAUUUAUUUAUUUUCUAUCAUUUUCGGCUAUAAAGCAAAAGCAUUUGAUCAUUGUAUUUUUUUGGACGCACAAUAGGCAAUACAAAAAGACAACCAAUAUCGGAAGGUGAUUUUCCGAUCUAAAUCUACGGGCUUUCUUUUUGUGAUUAUUCUCUUGUUUUGUUUUGUUUUUUUAUUUUAUUUUAUUUCAAAAGCAAAUAAAGUGAAGAGGAAAUGACCUUACCGUGCGAGCAAGCCAUGGAUUUCUUCUCCCUUCUUCGUCGAAAUCGGAGUUGAGGAGGGAUUUCGGGCUAAGAUUCCUUCAGGCUCGAAGAGUCCCACAUGGUGAAGAUGAAUCGGCAUUUAGCUGAGGGGAUUAGGGAUUUGAAAAUAAGCAGAAUGGGUGCUUGUUGAUUCGGUUGGCUUAGUCCAUAUAAGAGACUGGGAACGGCACCGUUUUGACCAAUUUUAAUGGUCUUGAUACGACGUGUGUGGUGGCUUUCACCCAAUAACCCGACCAACGCCUAGUUAAGACCCGCGUGUUAGGUCAGAGAGGGAUAUUUGCACCUUAAGUCCUUUUUUUCGACGUUGUGUUGCGAUUGAGUUCUGUCAGCCUUUUCCUUUGUUUUUAAUUUAUUCCUUUAAUUUACAAGCGAAGUCAAUUCAAUCCACGCUUAAACGCAGCACUUUGGGAUCUGGCAUAUUGCUAGUUUUAGUCCUUAUGCAUCAACGCGUUAGGCUUUAGUCCUUCCUCUAAUUUCAACAAUUUAUUGUAUUUAUUAAUUAUCCUUUUAGUUUUAUUUUUGCUUCAAUUGAGUUUCUUUUAUUUAUUCAUUACUUUCAGCAUGUUUUUAUUCUUUGAAACCCUUUUAUUUUUGAAAAUUUACUUAUUAUUCACCAUUUAAUAUAUUAUUUUGGAGUAUUUUAUUAAGUUUUGCAUGGUUUUAGUUUGUUAUUCAUACUUUCAUAUAUAUAUAUAUGUAAAUAUAUCUAUACAUGUAACUAUAUAUAUCUAUUUAUUUAUUUUCUUUUAAAUUUGUUUGUUUAAAAUGUUCUUUUAUAUACACAUAUAUAUAUACACCUUAUAAUAAGGUUAAUUCUUUUAUGCAUUUUAUUAAUUUUAUAUUAUUUUACAUAUAUAAUUCCUUUUAAAUUUAUUCUUAUAUAUUAUUACAUGAUCCUACAUAAUAUAUUUUUUAGGUUAUUAUUACGUAAGUACAUAUAUUUAUCGAUAUCUAUAUUUGAUAUAUAUAUUAUUAUUAAAUCUAUGUAUUUUAUACAUAUAGUUUUCUUGAUAUAUAUAUAUGUAAGCAUAUUCUUAAAUCCAUUAUAUAGUUUAUUAUAAAAUUAACUUAAUCUCGUAUGUAUUUCUAUGUUUUUUACAAAAGAUUAUUUUCAAAGUUAUUUAUGCAUAUAUUUUGUAAAUCUAUUUUGUGUAUUACGUCUCAUCAUGUAUUUUAUUAUCCUUUCAUAUUAUAUAUUAUUUAAAUUAUCACAUAUUUUGUAAACCCUUAAAUGAAUUUGUGUUCAAAAUAUUUUACAUGCAAUUUGAUUCAAACUUUUAUUCUAUAAUAUUUAUUUCAAUAAUUAUAUAUUUUUAGCUUCUACGCAAUUUUGUCAACUUAUAUAUUAUGUGUUUUAAAAAUAUUCAUUCUAUAAUAUAUAUUUUAAUGAUUGCAUGUGUAUAUUAAGCUUGUCUUUACAAAUAUUUUUUUAUUCAUCAAUCCCUCAAUUCAUAUAGUGUGUAUCGUGUACUUAUCAUUAUUUUAAAAUAGUUUUAUACCAUAUUGCUUCUUCGAUUUGCAUUUUAUUUUUGUGCAUCUAGUAGUAAUCAUUUUAUAUUAUGCCAUGUAUGUUGUCGUUGCAUGUUAUGUAUUCAUUGUUUUAUAUUGUCAUGUUAAUUAUUCUCCAUGCAUGAUCGAAAUUGAGUUAUAUUUCCAAGUUAGUUAUACUUAAUUGUUUAAGUGCUUGUUAGUUGAUUAAAUAAAUUGUAUUACCUCCACUCUUCCAUUGUCGUAUUUUUUGCGUACAUAUAUUACCCCAUAUCAUCGUUUUCCACUUGGUUUUUGAAAUGUGGUUUUAUAAAAUCUAAAUUUUUAUGAUUAAUUUCGUCUUAUUUCAAAUCGAAUUAAUGCGUUUUAAGCUAGUUUCACAAUUAUUUAAGAAUUCUUUAAAACGAAGGUGAUAUUCGAUAUUUGGCAAUUCGUGGAAUCGUGCCCUAAAGUGUUGGGUUGCAAUUUCUCGUUUGCUCAAAAUAGUCGAAGGUCCCUUUAGAAUUUUAGCCAUGUCUUUUAAAAAUUCUUUAAACGAAGGCGAUGUUCAAUAUUUGGCAAUUCGCGGAAUCGUGCCCUAUCGUGCUGGGUUGCAAUUUCUCGUUUGUUCAAAAUAAUUAAAGGUCCCUUUUGAAUUUCACUUAUGUUUUCUAAAAACUCUUCAAAACGAAGGUAAUAUUCGAUGUUUGGCAAUUCAGGGAAUCGUGCUGGGUUGCGAUUUCCUGUUUGUCCAAAAUGAUCGAAGAUUCCUUUAGAAUUUCACUCAUACUCUCUAAAUUCUAGAAUAAGGCAAUGUCUAACAUCUAGAAAUUCGAGGAGUUGUGCCCUACUGUGCUGGGUUUCGAUUUUCUCGUUGGAUUAAAUAAUUGGGCAUCCUUUUGCGGUUUUCAACGUAUAAAUUUUUGGAAGUCAAAAUUUGUCAUGUUUUCGAGGGCAUAAAGGAUCAUGUCCUAUCGUGCUGGAUGUGGUGCUAUAUUCCUCUUAAGCAAGAGAAUUUUGAUGACCAACUCGGGUUAUUCAAAUAUUAUCAAAAAGGGAACCACAUUUCAAAAAAAAAUUCAAAUCUUAGACAUAAGGACAGUAUUUAAUCGAUUUAGUACCAAUUUUGGGCGUAGUGAGGGUGCUAAUCCUUCCUCAUGCGUAACCGACUCCCGAACCUAUUUUCCUCAAAAGUUCGUAGACUAAAAUCGUUGUUUUAGUAAACCAGAAUGUUUUAUUAAAAUAACCAAAUCAUUAGGUGAUUCGAUCACACCAAAACAGAAAGAUCGGUGGCGACUCCAUUUCCGUAUUUCAAAAAGUAGAUUCCCUAUUUUUUAUUAAAUUAAAAUUUUUUAAAAGAUGGUUUCGAUAGCUUGGCGACUCCGCUGGGGAUACCAAUCAAGAGAGUCUAGCCAUGAAAUCGAUUAUUUGUUGUCCUUUUGUCGAAAUAUUGAAAAUUUGUUUUCAAAAUCAUAAUUGCAUUUUUUGUAUGAUUGCCAUGGUGCGGAUCUUGUAGAAUAAUGCUGCAUUUUAUUGCAUAACCGCUAUGGUCACACCUUCUAAGUGGAGGAAUGAAACUAUGCUUUCAUGAGGUUUUCACCUCCACAUGGGCUAGUGGAUUGCUUUCGGGGUACAUCCGUACCUAUGAUUUCGUGAGAUUUUCAUCUCUGCAUGGUCAUAGGGAAAUGUAUCCCCCUGAACCGAACUCGAUCUAUAUGAGCCUAUAAUGGGUGAGGAUUGAGGAAUCUGCUGGUUCGAAUAUCUUAUUGCUAGAACCGAACCACAUAUAGUGAACCUUAGGAGCUAUCCGUGGGUGGAGCCACGUCAAGCCUUAGUAUUUACCCGUAUAUGCGUUGUAAUUAUCGUUUAUGUGCUUGCAUUUUAUCACUAUUAUUUGAUACUAACCUGUGUUUUGUUUUGUUUGUUUUUUGUUGCAUGACAUUGCAUACUAAAGGAGGUGUUGAUUCAUAUUCAAUUACUAAGUUAGAAAGUUUGACAUGGAGAAUGAAUUUCUUAGUAAAGUUUAGGAUAAUGCGGCCGUUCGUGCAUGGUCAAAGAAGCUACAAUCAGAAAAAGGGGAUAGCCUGGCAGAAGAAUAUAUAUCAGAGUUGCAGAAAUUCACUCGUGUCAAUAUAGCACAGAAUGAACUGCAAGAGUUGAGAGAUAUUUGGGCUAGUUGGGAUGAAGGGACCAAGCAGUUGUUUUAUCAAAGCUAUGGUGAUAUAUCCUACUUGCUAGACAUUGGAGUGGAUAAACAUCUGUUCUGAGUUAUGGUGCAGUUUUAGAAUUCUGCUUACAAGUGUUUCACUUUUGGAGAAGUGGAUUUAGUACCUACCAUGGAGCAAUACACUACUCUGCUCAGGUGUCCAAAAAUUCAGGUCAGAAAGACUUAUGCCUGGGUUUUUAGUGGUCAGACUUUCGUGAAGAAAAUGAUGAGCAUUUCAGGGAUGAGUGAACCUUGGGUCACUGCUCGAAUUCAACAAAAAGGAGAUAGUAAAUGUAUCCCUUGGGAGAACUUGCGAGAUUUGAUUUUAACGCAUCCAGAUGAAAGAAAAAGGGUUGAUAUCUUCCCCUUAAGCAUCUACUGCUUGGUAAUUUUUCCUAAGGCUUUGAGGCACAUGGACGAGGCAGUCAAUGACUUAUUCAAUCGUCUUGGGAAAUGAAUCACACAUGUACCGGCGAUAUUGGCUGAGACGUUCAGAUCCUUAAGCACGUAUCGGAAGACGGGCGAUGGGCGGUUUAUUGGAUGUGCACAACUGUUGAUGGUGUGGUUUCACUUUUGGAAGGUAGACAAGGUUUCUUAUCAGGUCUUUUCCGAAGGUUAUUCCCCGCUAAAAGAGGAGGCAGCCAUACAAAGGAGAGAGGAUAUCUCGGAGGAGAAGUGGAUGGAAAUUAUUCAAAACCUCAAGAAGGGGGAUAUCGAGUGGAAAGUGUAUUGGAUGGUUCCUGAUGAGAUCAUGUACCGAUGUGGUAACUUUGAUUGGGUGCCAUUGUUAGGAAUUUGGGGAGCUACCGAGUAUACUCCAUUGCUUACCUUGAGGCAAUAUAAAUCGAGGCAGUUUGUACCCACGACCUACAGACUUGCCCAGUGUGAAUUCUCUUUUAAAGGUGCCCACUAUAAGAAGAAAGUUCGGGAGCUAUCAGAUGCUUGGAAGCAAGCUCGUUGGAUGAAGAGGUUGGCCAUCGGUUCUAUGGUGACGCCCGAGUAUGAUGGAUGGUUUAAAAAGAGAGUUAAUGAUAACGUUCCUUGGCCAAGCUUGGAAAAUACUCGACCUAUGGUGGAACAAUUACAAGUAGCCCCAUCAGAUUUGGAAAUUAUAAAGCAAGACUUCGAGAAGAAGAGUUCAGAGCUUGGGAAAAAGAUCGAACAAUUGGAGGAAGAGAAGAUGCACUUAAGAUUAGACGCUGAUGUCCAGAGGUCAGAGGCUGAGAAGUAGAGAAAAGGGAAAACUAAGGCCGAAGAAGAUUUAGACAGCUUGAAGACUGACUAUAAGAAGUUACGCUUGUUUAUGAGGACUGCGGCGUUAGGUAAGACUUUCGAACAAUGGCGCCAUGAAAUUCGAGAAGAAAAGACCAAGACCGACCGAUGGGAAAGGAAAUUCCGAGAAGCUCAGGCACGAAAUGAAGAUUGAGAGAAGAGUCUGUCAGAAAACAGAAAUGAGCGAGGUAAAUUAAAGGCUAGAGUGGCAGAACUCGAAAAGUCCCUUCAUCAGUACCGAAACCGCAACACCGCAAUAGAAUUGAGGGCAAGUUUGAGCAAAAUAGAAGAAAUGAAAGGAAAAAUAGAAGAAUUAUAAGCGUCAUUGCAAAACUGUAAUAUGCGGAUUCAGUUUUUCGAGGCAAAUGAGGACCAUUGGAAAGAGCAGCUUCACCAUGCGCAAAACCAAGUCAAAAACAGGGAUUACCUUAUGGGGGAAGCCAUAACCCAGAUUCGAGAGGUAGCCGGCUACUUGCAAGCUUUAGCAGUACAGGCGAACACACUAAGCGUGAAGUACGAGUUGGAGUCGGAUCGCGGGCAGGAGCUGGCCUCGUUGCUUAGAAAAAUUAAGACUUUAAGCAUUAGAGCAAAGUUUUAUUUGUAACUCAACUUUAUGUAAAAGAAUUUUAUUUUCUAGUGAAGUUUUCUAAAGGGAAUUGAAUCAAAAUUGAUGUCUCCUUUGUAUUCAUGCAUUUGCAUUACAUCACAUCAUUAUGCAUUAAAGGUCAUAAAAGGUUUCUAAUUAAUUAAAAAUCAUUUCAGUAACAUGGAAACCAACAAAAACCAACCAACUAUGCACCCGUACGGUACAAGGAAAAAGUCAAUGGAUAAAAGACUUGCGAAAUUGGAGCAAAUGCAAAAGGACAUACAGCAACAAAUGCAAGAGCAGCUAGCCAAGAUUCAGCGAGGGAUGAAGGAGCAAAUGAUGGAAUCCCAAAAGGAAAGGAUGAGUCAGUUAUCCCAAUUGUUGAUGGGAAGAACGGAUAAGAGAAAGGGCCCCAUGGACAAUUUUGAAGAAGCUAAUGAAGAUCCUCAAUACCGCCCUGGCUUCACUCCGACACAUGUGCCAAUGAAGCCCGAGAUUAAUUUACACAAAACCAUCUAUUACGAUCAUGCCUCAGCAGAUUCAGGUCGGAGCUUUGAUACCGAUGAAUUUCCAAGCCGGUUCAGGCUCUAACCUUGUUAAUAACCCGAGUUAUUCCCUGUUCCCGAUUUGGACGAAGUUGCAGAAGAAGAAAAGGCGAGGGUAGAAUUGUAAAAAUAAUUGGAAGAACAUUGUAAAUGGUUAGAGGAUAAAUUCAGAGCUAUGGAAAGCACAGAUAAUCAUCAAGGGAUUGAUGUUAAGGAUUUGAGUUUGGUCCCAGACUUGGUCCUUCCCCCCAAAUUUAAAAUGCCUAAAUUUGAAAAAUACAAUGGAACGAGCUGCCCUAAAGCUCACAUCACGAUGUUUUGCAGGCGAAUGACAUUCACUGUUUUUAAGAUAGUCUGGUUGGGGCGGCAUCUAAGCGGUAUAACCAAUUGAGCUGAGCUAAAAUUAAUUUAUGGAAAGACUUGGCUCAGGCCUUUAUGAAACAAUAUAAUCAUGUGACGGACAUGACCCUCGACAGGAUCACUCUCUAGAAUAUAGAGAAGAAAUCAAAUGAAAGUUUCAGGCAGUAAGCACAAAGAUGGAGAGAAAUGGCCAUACAAGUUCACCCGCUGCUUCUAGAAAAGGAAACCACGAUGCUCUUUAUCAACACCUUGAAGGCCCAUUUUAUCACUCAUAUGUUGGGAAGCGCCACCAAGAGCUUCUCAGACAUAGUGAUGACGGGUGAAAUGAUUGAAAAUGCUGUGAUGAGUGGAAAGAUAGAAGCAGGAGAAAGUAACAGAAAGUCGGCCCCGAAGAAAAGAGACAACAAAAUGAACAACACGAGCACAUUCAGUAAGGGUCAGUCCAAGUCACUUACCGUAAAUCAACCAAAGACGGUGACCACCAAUUAGCACAGCACUGUGAGACAAGAAUCCAAAGCAAAGGAGAACAUAGAAAGGCCACAGUUUACCCCUAUACCUAUGACGUAUAGGGAGCUGUACCAGAACCUAUUCAACGCUCAUGUAGUGUCCCCUUUUUACCUGAAGCCACUGUAGCCCCCGUAUCCCAAGUGGUAUGACACAAACGCCCAGUGUGAAUACCACGCGGGAAUCACCGGGCACUCAAUCGAAAAUUGCACCGCUUUCAAGAAAAUAGUCAAAAGACUCAUUAAAAUGGGGAUUGUGAGGUUUGACGACCCAGCCGUACCCAAUGUAGCAGGAAACCCGCUCCCCAAUCAUACCGACCAAUGAGUGAAUAGGAUAAGCGAAGGCAAGAACAAGAAGAUCAAAAGUGAGGCUGCAGAAGUCAGGACCUCAUUGAGACGGGUGUGGAAGGAGAUGGUCAAAAGAGGAUUGAUCCCGUUGGAUUUGAGAAAAGAAUCCGAAGAAGAGAGGAACUACUGCGAGUUCCACAAAGAGGUGGGGCAUGAAAUCCAAGAGUGUGUGGAGUUCAAGGCCCUCGUGCAGAACAUGAUAAACAAUAAGGAAAUAGAGUUUUAUAAAGAAGCUAAAAACCCCGAAGUGGGAGAUAUAUGUGCAUCGGAGGGAGGAUCGACGACGUAGAAUCAAACAACUAACUAUCCCGUGGUCAUCAUAUCAUGACCCAGAAGUAAUGAAGCUAGAGUGCAAAUGCCACCGAGGGUUAUAAUCCAAAGACCUGCAGUCUUCCCCUACAAAGACAGUAAAAGGCUCCCAUGGAAUUAUGAUUGCAACUUGACGAUUUUGGGAAAGGAAAGCCUGGUUGACGCUUCAAAAGUGGACCAAGAUAGGGGCUCUUAUACAUGUAGCGGGAGACGUUACGAUACAGUAAAUGAGAAGGCACAACCCGUAAAGGGAAAAGCCCUAGUGGUCGAAGAGAUGAAAGAAAAAACGACCAAAUCUGAACUUUCUGUUAAUGAGCCAGUUAAAGAGUAGGAGGCUAAGGAGUUUUUGAAAUUCCUAAAACACAGCGAGUACAGUGUGGUGGAAUAGCUACGUAAACAACCAGCUCGUAUCUCGGUGCUGGCCUUACUCUUGAGUUCUGAAGUCCACCGCAGCUCGCUGAUGAAGGUUCUGAAUGAAACAUAUGUUGCUAAUGAUAUCUCCGUCAACAAGCUGGACCGCUUGGUUAGAAACAUAAGUGCUGACAACUAUAUCUUUUUCAAUGACGAUGGGAUACCACCCGGUGGCAUGGGGUCGACUAAAACUUUGCACAUCAUCACGCGUUGUAAAGGGUAUACGCUGCCAGGCAUACUGAUUGACAAUGGAUCGGCUUUGAACGUCCUACCAUUGACUACGCUAAACAGAUUACCUAUAGACAGCUCUCACAUGAAGGAGUGUCAGAACAUAGUGAAGGCAUUCGAUGGCACAGAGAGAAGGGUGAUGGGCAGAAUCGAGGUACCUCUUCAGAUCAGGCCAAACACAUAUGAGGUGGAUUUCCUAGUAAUAGAUAUCAAGACCUCAUACAAUUGCUUAUUGGGGAGGCCCUGGAUACAUUCAGCUGGGGCAGUGCCUUCAUUGUUGCAUCAAAAGUUGAAGCUGGUAUCAGAGGGACAAUUAAUAACGAUCAAUACUGAAGAGGAUAUCAUUGUAACUGUAAGCAAUAAUGCGCCCUAUUUGGAGACAGAUGACGAAGCAAUCGAAUGCUCAUUUUGGUCUCUAGAAUUCGUUAAUGUGAUGUUCAUCACCGACGGAAGCAAGAUUCUGAUGCCAAAAUUGUCCAAAACUACGAGGAUGAGUCUACAGUUGAUGGUUAGAAAAGGGGCCCUUCCCGGAAGAGGACUUGGGAGACAUCUCCAAGGAAGGGUUGAAACACCGGUAUGAAGGACAAGAGAGACCGCUUCGUCUUAGGAUUUAAGCCAGACACAAGACAAAGGAGAAAGGAGCUGGAAAAGAAGCAAGAGAGAAGGAGAGCACGAUUAACGGGGGAGGAAAUCAAAUAGAAGCCAAUGAUAUUCCCCCAUAUAUCGAAGACUUUUGUGUCCGGAGGAAUUAUUCAUCCUGAGAGAGGCACGUCAAGAAAAGAAGCCAUAGAAGAAAGGUUGGAAAGCUUAGACAUCAAUGCCAUAUACGACAAAGAGACUGGAAGAGAAAGUUUGUCGGGCAUUUGCCCCUACCUACCUGGAAGUGUUCUGGAUAACUAGACUGCAGAAGAGAUUCCUGUAGUUUUUAGAACUGAUUCAGAGUAAUGUCCAAAACACACUUAUUACUCUAGGCCUAGGAGUAAUAAAAAUCUUUAGUGAAAUAGGCUGAUGUUUAAAAACGUUAUUUCAAUGAAAUGCACGGUUAUUAUCAUUUUCGAACAAAUGUUCUCUCAUUCUUUCAAUUUCAUUCAUAAUCAUAUUAUACAAACGAUUACUUUUGGAUUCUUUUAUUCUUUAAACAUUCUUCUAAAUAUUCUUUCAUUCAUCAUUCAUAAUCAUACCAUACAGAUAAGUGUUCUUGAAUUCUUUUGAUUAUUUGUAUCUUCAUUCAUCCUCAUAAUAGGUCCCUAGAUAUCAAUGAUACGAGUGACACGUUAGUAGCUCAGAAUCUCCUUUUGAGCGAGAUGCGUGUAUGGAGGAUUCUCAGGAUUUCGAAGAUGACCAAUGCUGUAACCUAUAAUUUGUUGAGGAUGGUAGAACAAGACGAGAAAUAAAUCCUACCUCACAAAGAAUCAGUAAAAAUUAUGAGCUUGGGAGAAGGACAAGAGGUGAAGAUCGGAACUUGUAUCACCAUGGAGAUGAAGCGAGACCUUAUUGAAUUACUUCAAGAAUUCAAAGAUGUCUUCGCAUGGUCAUACCAAGACAUGCCCGGGUUGGACACUGAUAUCGUGGUGCACCGAUUUCCCAUAAAGGAAGAAUGUAAGCUAGUUCAGCAAAAACUCCGAAGAAUGAGGCCCAACGUCUUGCUAAAAAUAAAAGAAGAGGUUGGAAAGCAGUUCAACACUAGAGUCUUGAAAGUGGUAAAAUACUCAGAUUGGGUAGCCAACAUCGUCCCCGUCCCUAAGAAAGAUGGAAAAGUGUGAAUGUGUGUGGACUACAGAGAUUUGAACAAAGCCAGCCCAAAGGACAAUUUCCCACUGCCUCAUAUUGACACCCUAGUGGACAAUACGGCAGGACACUCACUGUUUUCAUUCAUGGACAGUUUCUCUGGAUAUAACCAGUUCAAGAUGCAUCCUAAAGAUAUGGAGAAGACCACAUUUGUAACCAUGUGGGGUACGUUUUGCUACAAGGUGAUGCCGUUUGGACUGAAGAAUGCGGGGGCAACAUAUCAAAAAGCCAGGGUAACCUUAUUUCAUGACAUGAUGCAUAAAGACAUCAAGGUUUAUGUCGAUGAUAUGAUCGCAAAGUCUCAAACAGAGAAGGAGCACAUACAAGUCCUGAGAAAAUUGUUCUUGAGGUUGAGAAAGUUUCAGCUAAAACUCAACCCAGCCAAAUGUACCUUCGGAGCCAAGUCCGGAAAGCUUCUUGGAUUCGUGGUCAGUGAGAAAGGGAUCGAGAUCGAUCCAGACAAAGUCAAAGCUAUACAAGACUAUCUCCGCCGCGUACUCAGAAAGAGGUUCGAGGCUUUCUAGGAAGAUUAAAUUACAUCGCUCGGUUCAUUUCACAACUGACCGAUAAAUGUGACCCUGUCUUUCGCCUCCUCAAGAAACACAACCCAGGUGAAUGGGAUGAAAAAUGCCAAAGGGCUUUCGACAAGGUCAAACAGUAUUAAUCCAACGCUCCGAUACUAAUGCCACCUAACCCUGAUAAGCCAUUGAUACUGUAUUUGGCAGUAUUUGAGAAUUCCAUGGGAUGCGUAUUGGGUCAGCAUGAUGAGUCAGGAAGGAAAGAAAAAGCUAUUCACUAUCUUAGUAAAAAGUUCACGGAAUGUGAGACAAGGUACCCGCAGAUAGAAAAGUUGUGUUGUGCCCUAAUUUUGACAACCCGAAGACUGAGGCAGUAUAUGUUAUAUCAUACUACUUGGCUCAUUUCAAAACUCGACCCUUUAAAGUACAUGAUGGAGUCGACAGCUUUGAAUGGAAGGAUGGCCCGAUGGCAAAUUUUGCUCUCCAAUUCGACAUAGUCUAUGUGAACCAAAAAGUAGUAAAAGGGAGUGCAAUAGCAGAUUUUCUGGCCAGUGGAGCUUUGGAAGACUACGAGCCUUUGAACUUCGAUUUCCUAAAUGAAGACUUGAUCUGUGUUGCGACCACCAAAGAGAGUGCUUUGGAAAAACUUCCCUUGAAACUAAACUUCGAUGGGGCAUCAAAUGCCGUGGGUAAUGGAAUCGGGGCAGUCUUGGUAUCCCCAAACGGAGAUCAUUAUCCAUUUACUAGUAAAUUGGAUUUUGAUUGUACGAAUAACAUGGUAGAAUACGAAGCGUGCAUCAUGGGUAUCCGUGUAGCCAUAGCACGCAAGAUUAAAAGUGCUAGAGGUGUAUGGAGAUUCUACGUUAGUGAUUUAUCAACUCAAGGGAGAAUGGGAGACCAGAGACCCCAAGUUAAUCGAUUAUCAGAAACUGGUCCUUGAAUUGAUUAAAGAUUUUGAUAACAUUACUUUCUGCUACCUUCCACGGGACGAAAAUCAGAUGGCCGAUGCUUUGGCCACCUUAGCUUCCAUGAUCAAGUUGAAUAAACAAGAAGAUGUCAAACCCAUCCGAAUGAGCAUUUAUGAAACUCCGGCCCACUGUUAUAAUAACGAUGAAGAUGAAGAAAAAGAUGACCACCCUUGGUCUCACGAUAUAUUGCAAUAUGUGAAGAAUCGUGAGUACCCGGACCAGGUAAGUGAGAAUGACAAAAGGACGCUGAGAAGAUUGGCCAUUGACUAUGUCUUAGAUGGGGAGAUCCUAUACAAAAGAAGAAAGGAUCAAGUGCUAUUAAGAUGUGUAGACGCUGUAGAGGCUAAGCAAAUCUUAGAAGAAGUCUACGAGGGCGUCUGUGGGACACACGCUAAUGGCUUUACAAUGGCUAGGCAAAUUAUGAGAUUCAGAUAUUAUUGGUCCACAAUGGAAGGAGACAGUGUCAAUUACGCCAAUAGAUGUCAUAAAUGCCAAAUCUAUGGAGACAAAAUUCACGUGCCUCCUUCACCGCUGUAUGUCAUAACUUCCCUGUGGCCUUUCUCUAUGUGGGGUAUGGAUAUGAUUGGACCAAUAUCGCCUAAAGUUUCCAACGGGCAUCGGUUCAUCUUUGUGGUUAUUGACUACUUCACCAAAUGGGUAGAAGCUGCUUCGUAUGCUAGUGUUACAAAGUCGGCAGUGAGCAGAUUUUUGAAAAAAGAGAUCAUAUGUCGAUAUGGAAUGCCAGAGAGGAUUAUAUCUAACAAUGCAUUAAACCUAAAUAACAGUACGAUAGCGGAAGUCUGCAGUCAAUUCAAGAUCAGACACCACAACUCGUCACCAUAUCGCCCGAAAAUGAGUGGGGCAGUGGAAGCAGGCAAUAAAAACAUUAAGAAGAUUGUGGGGAAGAUGACCGAGACCUAUAAAGAUUGGCAUGAGAAGUUACCAUUUGCCCUCUUUGCUUAUCGAACAUCAGUCAGAACCUCAACUGGGGCAACUCCUUUCUCUUUGGUCUACGGAAUGGAAGCGGUUUUGCCGAUCGAAGUCAAGAUCCCGUCCCUCUGAGUGUUGUCGGAACUAAAGUUGGAUGAAGCAGAGUGGAUCCAGUCUCGAUAUGACCAGUUGAAAUUAAUUGAGGAAAAGAGGCUAAGAGCUAUCCGUCAUGGUUAGAUGUACCAAAAACGAAUGAUGCGGGCAUAUGACAAAAAGGUUCACCUUAGAGAAUUCCACGAGGAAGACCUGUUUUUGAAAAAGAUCCUUCCCAUACAGAAGGAUUUUCAAGGAAAAUGGAUGCCUAAUUGGGAGGGGCCUUACGUGGUGAAGAAAGCUUUCUCCGGAGGAGCAUUGAUUCUAGCCGAGAUGGAUGGUAGAAACUUGCCCAAUCCUGUAAAUGCAGAUUUCAUCAAGAGGUAUUUUACCUAAAGAGGGAGAGGCCAAGGUGAAAACCCGCAAAGGGCACCUUGAGGCUCUAAAAAAAAGAGUGGAGAGGCCAAGGUGAAAACCUGCAAAAGGCAUUUUGAGACCAAAGGGGUUUUUGAGUUGAAAACCCGAAAAUGGGUAGCUCAAAUUUUGAAUAUGGGGUAUGUGGUAGUCUUGUCCUCCCAAAAUUAACAAGAGGGAAGAACAAUACAUCUUGGAGCAUCGACAAAAUAUGCGGGAUCUCCCGAACACACAUAGUUCGAAAGAGCCUUUGAGAAAUUAGAAUAGUGAAGCUCGUGCUGCGAUAUCUGGGGCACAUUUUUUCUCAUUUCAUUUUGUACCUUAGCAGAUCUGCUAUCCUAUUUAAUGUAUUCACUUCGAGCUUACUCAAUAAAAUUCCAUCUUGUCCAUUAUGAUAGUCUCUUUCAAGCAUUUUGUUGAAAUCACGAUUUUUGGACUUAUCAUAUUCAAACAAAAGAAGUUAUUCAUAUUACUCUGGAAGGUCUCUAAAUAGUACAAGGACCUGAAAUAGGGCCACUAGUCAGAACUAACCAGACUCAAGAGUAGGAAACAUUGGAAAAAGAAUAGUCCAAAUUGUGACUAUUUCUUCAAAUUCUUUGUCAAAGAUAAUGGCUAAGCAAGAAGACACGACAACACAUCAAUGAUAGAACCCGGAUGAACUAUGAGCAAUGAGACCUUAAACGUUAAAAAAGGAAUUACUCUCAUGACAUUUCUACAUUCAUAAUCAUUCAUUUAGUUAGGAGCACUUGACUCAUUUUAAUCAUGGCAUCCUAAUUAUUUUGCACAAGCAUAGAUACAGGAAACCAAUUCUACAUAUCAUGUCCUCAGAAGACGGUGUAGCAGCAUUGGUGAAUUCUACAGAUCUUGUCUCCCUGAAGUUGCAGUGGAGCAGAUCAAAGACGGUGAAUCUAGUCUUCAUGAGGUUGCAGUGAAACAGAUUCAAGCCACCAUCCUAUCUCCCUAAAGUUGUAGUGGAGUAGCCUGAAGAUUGCAGAUCUCGUCUCCAGUGGAGCAGAUCGAAGAAAACGAGCCUUAACCCCCUAAGUAGUAGGGCAACAGGCCGAAGAUUGCAAAAUCUUGUCUUCCUGAAGUUGCAAUGAAGUAGAUGUAAACCACCAUCCUAUCUCCCUAAAGUUGUAGUGGAAUAGGCUGAAGAUUCAGAUCUCGUCUCCAGUGGAGCAGAUCGAAGAAAACGAGUCUUAACCCCCUAAGUAGUAGGGCAACAGGCCGAAUAUUGCAAAAUCUUGUCUUCCUGAAGUUGCAGUGAAGCAGAUUUAAGCUACCAUCCUAUCUCCCUAAAGUUGUAGUAAAGUAGGCUGAAGAUUGCAGAUCUCGUCUCCAGUGGAGAAGAUCGAAGAAAACAAGCCUUAACCCUCUAAGUAGUAGGGCAACAAGCCGAAGAUUGUAAGAUCUUGCCUCUCUGAAGUUGCAGUGGAGCAUAUUGAAGCUACUUGAAGAAAAGAAGUACCAAGAAGUCAAGACUCAGCAAGUCCCGGCAAAAUUGGCCUAUUUAUAGUCUUUGCUAUAUUCUCGUUACACGACAAUGAGCAAAGAGGGGCAGCUGUAAACGGGCCAAUUUGCCCUGCCCAUUGGAAACCCAAAUAAAGUAUAAAAUAAAUAAAUAAAUAAAAAACCCACAGUCCAUUUAAUGUCCUUUUACAAACUAAUACCUAUUACAAGCCCAAACUAAUAUUAAAACCCAAAUCAGAGCAAGCCCAAUAAGCCCAUUUCCCUAACAGUUCAGAAACCCUAAGUCACCCCCAUUUUCCCUUGCGCUGCAACAGCAGCCUCCAUGCACUUUCAGCUCCGUACGACUGCCACGCAUGCCUUCGUACGCCUCACGCCAAGAUCCAGCACGACCCCUGUACACGCGCCUUGCACCCGUACCUGCAAAAAAAAAAAACAAACGAGCAACAGCAGCAUAUACCCAAUGCGAAAGCAAAGAAAGAAUUUUGUAUUUUUAUUUAUUUUUUUCUAUCAUUUUCGGCUAUAAAGCAAAAGCAUUCGAUCAUUGUAUUUUUUUGGAUGCACAAUAGGCAAUACAAAAAGAAAACCAAUAUCGGAAGGUGAUUUUCCGAUCUAAAUCUCCGGGCUUUCUUUUUGUGAUUAUUCUCUUGUUUUGUUUUUUUAUUUUAUUUUAUUUUAUUUCGAAAGCAAAUAAAGUGAAGAGGAAAGGACCUUACCGUACGAGCAAGCCAUGGAUUUCUUCUCCCUUCUUCGUCGAAAUCGAAGUUGAGGAGGGAUUUCGGGCUAAGAUUCCUUCAGGCUCGAAGAGUCCCACAUGGUGAAGAUGAAUCGGCAUUUAGCAGAGGGGAUUAGGGAUUUGAAAAUAAGCAGAAUGGGUGCUUGUUGAUUCGGUUGGCUUAGUCCAUAUAAAAGACUGGGAACGGCGCUGUUUUGACCGAUUUUAAUGGUCUUGAUACGACGUCGUGUGG
rnacentral:lncRNA from 1 species